rnacentral:lncRNA from 1 species
UGUUAUGUUUUGUGUUUCAUUUGUUUACUUUUAAGUAUGCCUGCAGUCAAAUUUAGAUGAAGAUGGAUAUGGGUGAGGAAGGAGAAGUUGUGAGUAAGCAGAGUUGUGCUGGUUAGAAAUAGAGAUGGCCCUGUUUUGUGCUAUAAUGCCAAUUGUUUCUUAUGAUCCCCAUCUAGAGGUCACAGUAAGAUUAUGAUAGCGUGUUUGACUGAUGUUUUUUCUUGGUUUUCUGUAUACAUCUCAUAUGCUUGCAUUAUAUUCAUGUACAUUGUGCCUUUUUUGGGUGGCAUGGUGUGUUUGUGGGCAAGAAGCGAGUAAAGGUUUGGAGAGCAGCCCCUUUGUGCCUUUUUUGGACGGUUUGGAAGGAAAGAAAUAGGGUUGUUUUUUGAAAAUGAGGAUUUUUCGAUCCAAAGGUUGAAAUAUUGUUUUGUUUGUAAUUUGUGGUCUUGGUCUAAGUUGUGUAUAGCUGAAGGGCCUAUUUCUUUGAUUAACUUUUUUGAGCGGUUUGGGCUAGAGAUGAGGGUAGGUGAGUUUUUUGUAUCCCUCUUUUUUUUUGUUUUCGCCUAUAGGCACCUGUUGUAUACUUCCUGUAUGCUUUGGGUUUGCCGGUGGCCUCCCGGUUUUUAUUAAUAUACUUUUUCUGUGCCUUUGCCUAUCAAAAAAAAAUCAUGAACACUGUUCUUUGUUCAUAAAAUGGGUAAACAGUUCUUGUAUCACAAAUAAACAAGGUAAACAAUACUUGUACAACUGCAUUUGAGGCUUAGUAUGUCUGUUAAUAGGACUGACACUUUUUGGUGCAACUUGGUGAAAUGGUAAUUAUUUGUGAUAUGACACCCUUUAUAUCUCUCUACUAGUAUAAUAUUUCCAUUUUAAUUAUUUCACCUUUUUCAACUAAGGAUGUACCAAAAUGAAUUUGUUAAGACUUGCUUUGAUGUUUCCUUAUAUCUCUAACUUAUUCACAGUAUUCUCGAUGGACAACCUAAACUGAUGGGUCUGAAGGAGUUGCUUCAGGUGACUAGUUACAUGCAGUGUUUUCUUCUUCCUCUUCUUCUUGUGUGUGUAUGUGUGUGCAUGCAUGUGUGUGAGUUGAUGGUAGGGUAUUUAUAAGUCAGUGCAUAUAUAUAUGACCUUAUUUGUUUUGUUGCAUUUUUGUACAAUAGAAUGAGAACUUUCAACACUUCAUUCUAUUGGGUUUACUCCUUGAUUUACUUACAACUAUGCCCAUAUAAAAAACAAAAACUUUAUUAGGCAUUAUUGCCAAAUGCACAGAAGAGGUAUGACAAAGAGUACUUAAAAAAAAAAAAAAAGAGGGGGGUAGGCUGAGAGGUCCUUCGCUGGAAAAGAAAGAAACAGAACAGGAUAGGUCUAUACAGCACUUUCUGAAUCUUUUCUUUCUUUCUUCUCUUUUUUUUCUCCACAUGGUGGGGAUAAGGAAGGAGGGAGGGAGGAAGAAUGAUGUGUGUACUGAGGGAAGGAGUUGGUUUUGUUUAGGUUUGAUUUGGGUAUGUGAAGGAUUUUCCAUCGAAGGGCAUAUAAAGAUAGUAGAUUCUCCACAGCCAGUUAUCAUUAUGACAAACAGCUAUGCUUCUUGUUGCAACAUUAGAAAUGAUGGUUGGGUGAAUUCUCUCCCACAUUUCACUCUCUGUUCAUAUUUUUUGUUGAAGGGCCUCUUCUUUCCUUCCAGCCAGAACACCCAAACUCAUAAAAUCUUUUUGAACCCAUAAGAACUUGGUAGGUCACUCAAGGAUUAUUUAUUUAUUUAUUUAAUUUUGUGGUCUAAACUCAGUUUCAGAAGUACUCAAUUUAAUGCUGCCCUCUUCUUCUUCUGCACACUUGAAGAUGCCUACACCAGUUUUGCAUGUGAACUAGUUGAAAAUGCAGCCACCAGACUCUGACCACAUGUAAAAUAUUCAGUUUGAGUUGAGCAUCAGACCUUACUCCAUGCAUCAUAUAUCAUACUUGUCUUCUGUAAGUUUAAAGAUAAACUAAAGAUUGGUGAGCUUGAAUAUUUAUUGCACCAGAGUGUGAUGUUAUAUUACAUAUUUUGAAGCUUAACAGAUCAAGCUGACUGGUUGGUUGAAAAAAUCAAAUCUAUAUCUGAUAGAUAAGGCUAAAUUUUGAUGGAAGCACACAUAAGAAAUAGCAACAACUAUAAAGCAAUAGAUCAGCACAAUGGCAAACCCAAAUUCCUCUAGAACUCCAAACAAAGUAUCCUGAACAAAUUCUUCUUAAAAUGAAUCACAUAGAAGGAAUUAUCUGUUAACUGACUUAUCCUUUGAAAAGAAUUUUCUCAUGCAUUUUCUCAUACUUGUUUCCAUAUUAACCCUCUCUCUCCAACGUCUUAGAAGAAAUCUUAAGGUAUCAUAUGUAUAAUUUUCCCCAUAUAAAAUAUUCAACUUUGUGAAUGUAUUUAGAUGUGCUGCUUUUCUAUUAGAGCCCAAAAUACAUAAAAUUUCAAGACACUUGUCAUGUAGCAUGAGAAUACAACAAACACACACACACUCACACACACUUGUCAUGUACCAUGGGAAAUGUAACAGACACACGCACGCGUGUGAAUCUACUUUUGUGUUUUUUUGUUUGUGCUAGUGUCAUGGAAUGUAUUUGAACUAACUAUCUAUAUCCACAGGCAUUCUUAGAUUUUAGAUGCUCUGUUGUUGAGAGGCGAGCAAGGUUUAAGCUGUCACAAGCACAAGAAAGAAGACAUAUUGUUGAGGUAUGUUGGAGAUACCUUAAAAGGUAUUCUCCAAAAUUAUUUAAUUAAAGAACAUAAAAUGACAUGUAGUUCGACAUGAAACUCCAUUUCAUUCUGAUUCUCAUAGCAUUAUACAUGGCUUUUAUUCUUUUUCUAAUAGAAUUUGCAAUGAUCUUUGCUUUCAAAUAAUAUAUAAGCAUAGUUGUUAACUCUUAAUCAUAUCACUAUCAAUUGUUAUUAUUUUAUUUUUUUGCUUUCAUGUAUCUUGUAUCACAAUUUUAUUUUAUUUUUUGAGAGUGAAAAAAAAGUAUGCCUACAUAAAUGAACGACAUUUAUAUUAUAAGAAUGAAGUAUAGACCAAUGUCUAACCAAUUUCAUAAAAGAUAGUAAGACAAAAUGAGUUAAACCAUAAGCAUUUAUCCAUAUCAUACAUAUGAAAACAUUGAAUACGAGAAUUUUCUCAAAUUCAAUUUAGAAAAAUAUUACAUUUAAUGUGUAAGAAAUCUAUUAGAUGAACUUUUGAAUGUUCAACUAGAAUUUCUAGUUCCAAGUUUUAAAUGGUCAUGUUUACUCAUUUGUUGUUGAUAUGUUGAUUUUUACGUGUCACCUUUGAUGUUCUAAUCCAAACUCAUCAUUAUUUCUUCCUCUAGAGAAAAAAUGAAUGCAAGAAAGAAAAGGAACAAAAAAUGAAUAUUCUAAGUGAAAAUUUUGAUUUACCAUCAUAUUCAAGGUCAACAUUCAAAUAGUAGUUCUCCAAUUUUCAUUGCAAGAAUGAAUUUACUAAAUUUUCAAUUUUUUUAUGUGUUUCUAUCACAACUAGUGUGUAGCGUUUUCAUGUAACAUUAGUUGAUCUCUCCUUUUCUCUGUUAUUAUCAAUUUCUAACCUUAAAGUACAUUUUAAAUAAUAAAUCCAAUAACUUUUUAGGAAAAAAAUCUUCAAUAAACACCUAACAAAAAGAGAGUGUAACUCACGUACACAUGAAAUAUACAAGCAACACACAAAUAGAAAAGAAUUGUAGACCCUAUUGCACAAACUAGCUAACCAAUUCCCAUACUGUCAGGAAAGUCCAAGGCCCAGGGCACACAUCUCCUUUUAUCGACAAGCAAAGUCUUUCGGAGCACAUCCUUCACAAUGAAACAAGAUUUAUCCACGCCAUGAAAUGUUCUACUAUUACGCUCCUUGAAGUGAUUAGAGAAUGGAUAAAGGGAUCAACUUCCAAAUUAUCUUGCAUUGGCUCCAAAUUUAAGAAAAUGAAAAAGAAAAAAGAAGCAUCAAGCCGAUAAAGCAAAACAUCCUUAACAAUCAAGCAAAACUAUUAGAAAACGUGGACUUUUAGGAAUGGUAAAUCAAGGAAUUUAUUCCCUUCCAUAUUGUAUAUAUCAACUGUACAACUGUAGAAUAUUGUAGUUGGUGGUUUCACUAACUAGGUGCAGAAUUAUAGGAGUUAACUUCUUUUUUCUGAUUGUAUUAUCUAGAAGGUAGUCUAUAAAUUGCACUCAAUUUUCUUCAAAUAAUAAGAAAUUAUGAUUUCCAACUUUCAAAAACCCCAAGGACAUCAAAUAUUGAACACACCAAGGACCACAGACUAAGUAUAACUAAUGAAUAUGUUGUCAGCAUAUCUUAAAUCUUUGUUGCAAAGACAACACCGACUGAGCAUACUCCAUCAUCUCCUUAUUAGUUGGUCGAUAGUAAAAAUCUUUUCCCAUACAACUUCUUUCUCUCUCUCUCCCUCUCUCUCUCUCUCACACACACACCCAUGCACACACACACAAAGAACUUAGCUGAGGCGUGGAUGAAGAUCUCCUAAUACUCGGGAUUUUAUGAUAUGACCUUACUUGAAGGAGUCUAUCCUUGUGUCUUCCAUGUUGUUUGUCUACCAGACGACUAGAAAUAGAAUAGUAGACGACAUAAAUACUAAGGAAUCAACGAUAGCCACUUUUAUAUCCAAAUGAUUCCUCCUAAAUCUAAGAUUCUAGCAAGCACCAUUCCAAUAAUCCCAAACCCAAACCCAAACCCCCUCAUGGAUUGCAAGGUGGAAUAACCCUAGGAUCACCACAAAUGGUAUAUCCAAAAUUUGACUCCACGAUCAUUACCAAUAUCAAACUUUGUCCUUGAGAAAAAAAUCAAUCCUACCCUUCCGUAUUGCUUUCCUUAGGCUUGAACCAUAGGUCUCUCUACCUUCCAUUGUGCAACAACACCUCUUUUAGUUCUCCAUAGUUCUCCACAAUCAUCUUUCUGUAAAAAGUGUCAUGUUUUGAGAGUAAAUCUCUACAGCCACUUUUCUAACAAGGGUUUAUUGGAAGGUCCAAAGCUACUAAUCCCUAGGCCCUCUGUCUGAUUUGUCUAAAUAAUUAAUUGCCCACUUUACUAAAUGAAUCUUCUUCUCCAGGAGGCCUUCAAUCCACAGGAAUUCCCUCUAAAUGCUUUCCAAUAUGCUAUAUAUUUUUCUUGGAAUAACCAAGGCUGACAAAAUAUAUAUUGUUUUACUCUUCAAAAGAGUUAGUCUCCCUCCUUUUCGAGGAUAAUGUCGGUUUCAAGAAGGGAAUAUUCUUUUAAGCCUCUCUGCAACUUCAUCCCACAUCAAAACUCUUCAAAAGCGUGAGUCUACCACAUUUUCAAAGAUAAUAUGAGUUUCAAGAAGCAAAUAUUGUUUUAAGCCUCUCCUCAACUUCAUCCCAGGCUGAAACAGACUCAAAAAGUGCACCCAAGUGUGGUUCCAUAAACACAGUGGGAAAGUUGUCCAUUCUGCAACCCAAUUGAUUAGUCAACUGGUCAAUGUUAUCCAUUUGCCUAUUAGGAUAAGUUCACUUUUUUCUCAAGGUAAUUUUCAACUGUGAAGUCAUUUCAACUUCAUCCCACACUAAAACAGACUCAAAAGGUGCACCCAACUGUAGUCCAAAUGCUUACUAGGAAAGCUGUCCACUCUAGAAACCAAUUGAUUUCUAUACAUCGUGUAUGCCUUGUUGCACUCUUUUCUAGUGUUUUUAAUGUAUUUUCUCGCAUGCACAAAAAAAAAAAAAAAAAAAAAAAAAAAGGAAAAGAAAAAAGAAAAAAAUAAACAAACAAGGUAGGCCUCAAAACUUCUGCAUUUUUCGUCCAUAAUCGUAUUAGCCAUCAGGAAGACAUCUAAGAUCUAUCUUCCCUUUACGAAGGCAUUUUGAGACUUAGAAGUCACUUUGCCAAUAAGUGUCUCAAGUUUUUUGCCAAGCCCUUUGCCAGAAACUUAUACUAACUACUUAUCAAACUAAUGGGUGUAAAGUCUUUUAUAUUUUCUGCACCACCCUUUUUUGGAAUCUGAAUAGCAUUAGGAAUGAGGCAUUCAUGCUCCUUCCUAAAGUUCCAUAAGAAUGGAAGUCAUUAAUAAAAUCAAUCACGUCUGACCAAAGUACAUCCUAACAGCUUUACUAGAAAGUCAAAAUUGAGCCAUCUGGGCCUUGUGCUGUCCCCGCUCACUUCACCAAGCACUGCCCGGAUUCCAUUCUCACUAAAGAGUAUCUCUAAUCCUGUAUUGUCUGCCUCCACCAACUGCUUGAGAAUCCCACAUACUAUGCUGAUGACUCUCUGAAUCAGCAAAAAGCUGCUACAAAAAAAAUUACGAAAUGCUCUUUCUCAGCUCAACCUCUUCUGUAAGCAAGGAACCUUCAAUGCACAGUCUGCCUUUGAAAUUAAACCUUUUAUGAGCAUUAGCUAAUUUAUGGAAAAGUCUGGUGUUUCUGUCCUAUCUCAACCAAAAUCUCAAGAUUUUUGGAUCCAAGCAGUUUCCUCUAACACAACUAGCUUGUUAUAUUCUCAAAUGGCUGAACGCCUGUCCUCCUGUUUUGGAGCUUCCAAGCCAUCCUCACUUUCAUUUGCAUCCUAGCAUCUUGCAUGAGCCUUUUUCGGAGCUUUCAAUGUAAAUGGAAUCCUGAGACAAGUACUCCCUGUACACAUAGCUUCCCUACCACCCAACUACUAGCUCCUUGAAUCCCUCUUCCUUGAGCCACAUAUUUUCAGAUCUGAAAGGGUAUUUUAUAGCUCUUAGGAAUCCAUCAUCAAAUACAAUUAGGUAAUGAUCUAGGACUGGUCUAGUUCAAAUGUUGAGUUGCAUUACGAAACAGCUCUUCCCACUGUCUAGAAAUAACAAAGGGAUCCAACAGAGAAAAAGCUUGGCCACGUUGACCUCCAUUCCAAUUAAGGGUUCCCCCAACCAGCAGAAUAUUAAUCAGGUUCCUGUCCUCUAUGGAAUCACCUAACUUUUCUUGGAAGGACUUCCUUUCAUUUCAUAAAACAAGAACAUGAACUCCUGUGAACACCCAAGAAAAAUCACCCCACAAAUUUUAAGUUUACAUAAGAGAGAAAGCCCUUAUUUCCUUAUCAAGCAAUUCCAAGGUUUUGCUAUCCCAGAAGACCGCAAGCUCUCCAGCAGUCCCCCAUGCAUCAAUGGCACCCCAUUCCAAGAAUGCCUUAGCCCCAAGCUCCUUACUGCCUCUAUUCAAAUAACUUUCUUUUUUGACUCUUAGAGGCACACCAAAUCAGCCUUGUAGGAGUGAAGCAGAGGUUUCACCACCUGCAUUAUCCCUGAAUUAUUCAGUCCCCUAGCAUUCCAGGAAUUGAUUUGAACCUUCAUUAAUCUACCUUGAUGAGAGCCUGACCAGAGAUCUCUGUUCCUGUAACACAACUAACUGCUUCAUACCUCCAAUAUUGAUUAACCAUGUCCGGUUAUGAAUUUGUGCUUUUUUUGGGGUUUGGUUCCACUCCUGUGCAGCCUUGUAGGACUGAAGCAAAGGUUUCACCACCUGCAUUUUCCCUGAUUUAUUCAGUCCCCUAACAUUUCAGGAAUUGAUUUGAAGCUUCAUUAAUUUACCUUAAUGAGAGCCUGAUCAGAGAUCUCUGUUCCUUUGCCACAACUGACUGCUUCUUACCUCCAAUAUUGAUUAACUAUGUCCAGUUAUGAACUUGUGCUCUUUUUUAGGAUUUAGUUCCACUCCUGGGCUGUGGUGUGCCAUCUUCCCCCCAGCCCCAUAUCAAUCUAUCAUUGCAUCACUGCAUCUUGUCUCCUUUGGGGAUCUUGUAUAAUUAUAUCAUUUUAUUGUCUAUGGCAUAUGUAUUAUGAUAUACUUAUUACAUAAAAGAAUGUAUUGCUUUAUAUCUUAUGGUUCAUUGCAUGUUUUUGUUAACUAUGUAGGUUACUAUGAAAUUUCUUUGUGAAUCAUUGUUGUUGAAUGGCUACAUUGCAAAUGAUGCAUCGGGACUAUCAAAUUUCAAAUAGUUUGAAAAAGAAAAAAUGGGUUUUUUUAAUUAAACAGGAUCUCCAGUCACUCCCUCACGAAAUGCCUACAUUUUUAGUAGUAUAGUAACAUUUCAUGUGCUCUUAGGGUAUUGUGGUGGGGCUUGAUAAUUUGGAUGCAGUAAUUCGUGUAAUUAAGGAAGCUCCAAGUAAUGCAAUGGCAUCAACUGGUUUGAGAAAUGGUGAGGUCUACGUAGUUUUGUUUUAUUAAAUUUUUUGUUCAAGAUGCCUAUUUGAUUGCAUAUUUUUUCUGCAGAGUUCAAAUAGUUCUUGUUUGUUUUGUUUGACUUAAAUCCAUGUAACCUUUUGUUUGUUGAAAUUUGUUUUAAGCUUUCUUUUCCCUAGAGGUUGUUCCUUUUUUCAUGUUUGUGGUUUUGCAAGUGGUGAAAUGCACCUUGAUGGUUACAAUACAUUGUGCUAUUUAUUAGUGUUACAAAAAGGAGGAAACUAAAUUCUCAGUAAAUAUGGAAAAUUUUUGUGAUGCUACAUAGAAAAGAAAGCACUCAUGAUGAACUCCAAAUAUUAAAAAAAUGUAUAAAUAUAGAAAACCUGAAUUUUGCUAUCGAAGUUUUCCAAGCUUAUCUGUUACAACUUAGGAGUUAUUGAAACAGGUGUGGAAUAUUUUCCAAGCUUAUUCCCUUUCAUAUGUUAACCAUUAACAAAAGUAUAAGUUGAAACAAGAGUCAGCACAAAGGAGGGAUCUUUCAAAGCUUCAAGAGCAAGUACAAUAGAACAUAGGAACAAAAUCUAGGGACAAUGAAGUUGGGGGUUAUGUGUUGCUUGGUUUCCAAUAAAGUUUCAAUCUCUUGGUGCUAAUGUGUAAUAGUGAUCAAUGGCGAUCUAUGGAUCCAAUAUCCUUAGAUUAAUAUCAAUGUUUUGGGAGGAGUUGUGUUAUAUUUAAUGAUCAUUCGAGUUUGACAAUGUUAUUCAACGUUCUAAUUUGAUGGACACCAUAUUAGGCACACUACUUUUCAGUCCAAUUUUUUGGAGGAUCUAGUUUGCAAUGUGAAUAAUUGCCCCAUCUUUAAUAUAGGUCUUGUUGCACCAUUGCAUACCACUUGCCCCGUCUUUGUAUAGAUUUUCCUAGCUCGUUCCAUGUGUCUAACAAGAAUCUCAACCUACCACGUCUCAUGCUAAAUGCCUUGCAACAUCCCAUGCUAGGUUUCAUUUCCUUGAUGUGCCAACAGUCUCUUGCUUGGGCUUUCCCUAAUGCCAAGGUGCCACAAUUUCACGUCUCUAGGUGUCAUGCUCUUAGCAUCUAACAACCCUUGCUUGAUCUUUCACCAAUGCUAAGUGUUGCACCAUGUUGAACCCAUGUGUGUCACUUAACCCAUUGAUGUACGCAUAGGUGGUCCCACGUGUGCCAAACCUUUUAUUGGCUCACUUUCUUGACGCAACGUAGCCAUUGUAUGCUAAGUUCUCUUCUUAGCCCAUGGCCUACAUCCAUUGCAUUGUGGGCUCAUGCAUGCCAACCUUGUCGAUUCCUUUUAUCUAGGCAUGCAUAGCUUAUGUUAUGUGCCACAGUUGUGUCCCAUGUUGCAACUAAGGUCAAUGUCUGAGGCUCACCAUCACACCGUGCUCAUGUUAGAAGCUUUAGGUUGUGCCUUUAAAGGGCUAAGAUCCCUCUCUGAGGAAGAUAGGAGAAAUAAGAGGAUAGCCAAUGAUGAGUAUAGUCACUUGGCCAUCCUCGAGGAAACUUCCUAGAGAUAGAAAUCAAGGGCUUUAUAGCUGAAGGAAGGAGACAAUAAUACCAAGUUUUUUCAUUGCAUGGCUAGUGCAAGAAGAAGGGGAAUUUUUAUAAGUAGCCUUACUAUCAGGGUGCACGUUUUGAAAAUGAGGAGGAGCUUAAAGAAGGGAUUGGGUCCUACUUCAAAUCUGUGUUUGAAGAUUCACAAGUGAGAAGACCUGAUGUGGACUCAGGGUUAUUUAGGAGUCUGGAUUCCUUGGAUAAUGAGGGCUUGGAGGAGCCAUUUUCAGAGGAAGAGGUAACUAAAUCUCUUUCAGAUUUGGGGGGUGAUAAGGCACUAUGGUCGGACGGAUUCUCAUUGGCGUUUUGGAAGUUCAGUUAGCCUAUAGUGGGUGGGGAAGUGAUGUAGGUUUUUGAGGAAUUUUAUUUGCAGAAUGCUGUGCUUCAAAGUCUUAACGCAACCUUUUUAGUUCUUAUCCCGAAGAAAGAAGGGGCAAAUGAUAUUAGAAAAGGGUGGGAAGAGUUCAUUCUUAGAACAAGUAUUCGUAUUGGAAAUGGUAGACACAUGGGUUUUUGGUGGGAUAAUUGGGUUGGGGAUUCUAAGCUGAAGGAUGUUUUUCCUUCUCUAUUCAGGAUUGCAGCCCACAAAUAUGCUACAGUGGCAGACCUAUGGCGAGGCAAGGGGAUGGAGGCAGUUGUUGGGAUGUGUAUUUCAGAAGAUCUUUCCAAGACUAGGAACUGGAGGAGGUGACUGUUUUUUUAGAACACAUUUAUGCGCUAAAGGUUCAAGAAAGAGAGGAUUCUUUAGUUGGGAAGAAUGAUGGGAGGGGAAAGUUUAGUAUCAAAUCAUAUUAUAAGUCGUUAAGGGCUGAAAACAUGUUUUAUUCCUUGCCAAAGAGAUCUUGGGUCUCUGUGCUCCUUUUAGAAGUCAUUUUUUUGCUUGGGAAGCAGUUUGGGGGAAAAUCUUGACAGUAGACACGUUAAUGAAGAGGGGAUGGUCCAUGGCUAAUAGGUACAACCUUUGUAAAGAUAGUUAGGAAUCGACUGACCACAUUUUGAUACAUUGUGAUAAGAUUAGGAAGCUUUGGACUAUGCUGUUAACUUCUUUCGAACCGGUAUGGGUGUUCCCGGAUUCAGACAUUCAGUGAGAAAUCUUCUAGAAUGGAAAGUUAAGGGGCUAAGGAAGAAGAUAAGAGCAGUAUGGAGAUUGUCUUCGAUUUGUCUUUUUGGGUGUAUUUGGGUAGAACAAAAUUGAAGGACUUCCUAGGAGGAAGAGAUGUCUGACCAAAGUUUGAGGAAUCUCUUUAUCCUUUUACUAUUAGAGUGGUCUCAACAGUUUUUGGGAUUAGACAAUCCCUCUUUUUUUGAAUUUUUUGGGUGUCCUUAAUGGCGACUAGCCUUUCCUAUCAUAGGUCUUUUCUCUCUUUUCUGCAGCCUGGUUGGGUUUUUGGUUGUAUGUUGCCUGUAUACAUAGGGUGCGCCCUUUUUUUAAGCGUUUAUUAAUUCAAUUUGCUUUUGUCUAUUAAAAAAAAGGUUGUGCCUUUAGAGUAGCAUACUUCUUGUCAACCAUGUUCUAUUACUACCCUCAGAGAGAGUAAACACCCCCUCCCUCCCCCCUUCUCUUUUUUGUGGCUGCCUCUUUAAAGAGAUUUUUAAGCAUUCCGAUAGGAAAAGACAUCAUAAGUGCUUCCAUUGGCAUAAUGAAUUUUUCUAUAAUUAAAAAAAAAAAAAAUUGGAAAGAAAUAUUCAUCCACUUGAAAACUUCUUCUCAAGGCAUCCCCUUUGACAAAAAAUCUCAGCCCAACAAAAUCUCACACUUCAAUUUUUGCCGAGUUGAGUCACCCAUUCGGCGUCUUAUGUGUGUAUGCCACCCCUUGUACUGACAUGCUACUUAGGCUUGUGUGCAUCCUCACUUGUAACCUUGUUUUAAAUAUGACAUGGUGAUCCACAUGCCAUAGGCAUUGAGGAGGGACAUCAAGGGAUUUGAUUGGUUAGAGGAAGGGAAACUGGUUUUGCAGGUGGACCAUCUGGAGGGCAUCAAAUUAGAAGAUUGGUUUGGGGAAUUUUUUAUGAGAGAAGGUCCAGACAGAGACCAGAAACCAAGUUUAAGUAUACCGUAGGUCUACUCUGCAAAGGAAAAAGUUUCUGCAAUCUCCACUUGCAGCAUCAGUCUAGGAAAUCUACCAGCCACUGCAACCCAUCUUCUUCACAUUUCCCUCCUCUCUCCAUUUUUUUUUUUUGUUAAAUUUGUUUACUUUUAUAGCACAUAUGGCCAAUGGUUUCUUUUUGGAAAAGAUCCUUAGUCAUAUGCUUUGUCUUUGAAGAUGUUGUAACCUUACUUUGGCUAUCUAAAGGACCUAUAUGCAUCAAUUGCACUUCUUCCAGUCCUUUCCUUAAUGGUGUAUUUUCUACGACUUGCUUUCUUUAAUCUAUCAUUAAUAGUCAUCCUUCCUUCCCUUAUUUUGUUUUAUGCAUAUUUCUUGUGCAAUGGUGCCCCCUCGCAUGAAAGCUUUGGCAUAAACUGUUGCCUGUGGUAAGGUUGAUACAUAUGCCUCAAAAGAGGAGGUGUUGUGAAAGCCCUCUUCUCAAAUGUGAGUGCUUUGUUGGUGUUAACAAACACUAGUUGGUCUACCCUUUAUCAGCUUUUAUCUCUUUUGGACUCUGUCAUCCUAAGCUUUUGCUUGGAUAAAGGCAAAACUUUAGCAAACAUUUAAUUUUGAAGGUUGUUCUCUUUGUUUUCUAGGUAAUGAUGCCAUUGGGAAACUAUGGGUUUUAUAUUCCUUUUGUCUUCUUUUUGAGACAGAAUGGCUGUCAAAGUGGUGGUGGAACACUCUGGGUGUGACUUAGUCAAAAGCUUAAAGGUUAAAACUUUUAGUUGAGGGUUGUGAUUUUAUAGGAUUAGUAAAGCAAGAUGUAUAUGGAACGAUAUCUUGAACUUAGCUAGGGGAUUAAUGUUGGUUAUUCUUGUUUUCAUUGUUCAGAGAAUGGAGAAGUAGAGUUUCCUCCAAUGAUAGAGGCUAGAUGUGAUGAAGCCUUUGUUAGGCAUUUGUCUACCACUUGAUGUUUCAUAGUUUUCUUGCUUUUAAACCUUUGAGGCCUGGCUUAGGUGGUGAGGAAUUGAGUUGCAAAUGGGAAGAUUCCUAGUUCAGUUCUACGUAAAAUCGUUGCCUAUAAAUGGUUUUCUUACUUGUAAAUUUUGUUCUUUUUUCCCUUGGUUGAUGGAUGCCUUUUCCUCGUGAUUAUUUUCAUUUUGAGGAUUGCAUUAUCAAUAACUUGGAGUUAAGUGCUUCCAACUUUCAGUGCCUUUAACAACUAUCCUGAGCUUAGGAUAACUUCAGCAUCAUGUUUAUACACAGGACUUUUUCCUGUCUCCUAAAACUUGCUGAUGAUAUUAUUAUCUUUGAGUGCAUAUCUCAUAUGAUCUAUCUUUCGUUCAGUUAGUGUCAGUCUUUACUUUUGUUGCAUGAGGCUUGUAUUAAUUACAUGAUGAAGUUGAGAAUUAUAAUCAGAUACUGCAUCAGUAGCGAAUUUUAUAUUAGAUAAAAGAAUCUCUAAGAGGAAUUACUUAGAAGUUUGCAGGAUUGAUAUCUUUUUAUAAAAAUGAAGAUAAGUACUUCUGAGCCUUCGAAGCUUACAGAUUCUUAAGCAGUAAAUGAUGCUGCUUAAAAUUUUGUGUUGUUUUUGCUGAUCGAAUGCAAUUCCAUGUUGGUGACUGAACCUUGAAAAUUAAAAUUAGAUUUUUAUUAUUGUCUCUUUUGCAGAGUUUGGUUUAUCUGAAAGGCAGGCUGAAGCUAUAUUGGACAUAAGCCUAAGAAGGAUCACACGUCUGGAGGUGCCUGAUCAUGCCAUUCAUUGUCUGAUUUCUGUUUUCUCAAUUGGAAUUGUUAAGCUAUAUUUUCAUGGAUAGUAUCAUAUGAAGAGAUUGUAUUUCUCUUACUAUGCAGAGAGAAAAGUUUGUAACUGAAAGUAAAUCCUUGAUGGAACAAAUUUCGAAGUUACAGGAACUAUUGUCAAGCAGGAAACAGAUAUUACAGGUAAACAUAUUUCAGUAAGUGCCCAUUUAUUAUCUGCUUCAUUGAGAAAAAAUGUCUAAUUAUGGAGGCCACACCAGUUAUGUUUUGCUCAUGCUAGUGUCCAUUCUCUCUUUGUGAUUCUGAUAUUGGCUACCUGUGUGGCAUUUGUUGUGCUGGGCUGAAAAGAUUGAGCUACCAUUUCUGACAUAUGGUGUUUGCAUAUCCCAUCAACACAAGCAUGUGUUCUUUUUGGAUGAUUGACGUGCACAUCAACCAACUGUGCUCAAUAUCUUGAAUGGCGGCUGUUGUGACAAUUGUUGAUUUGAAUCUCAAGAAAUGUUCUGAAUCAAUACUCCUGUUUAUCUAUCAAUGAACUUAAAUGGAAAUAUUUUUGCAUAUGUAGCUUCUUUCUGUUGUUACAUUCUCAUCUUCUUUAUUUGUAUAUGUCCUAAAUUCAUAUUCUUCUAUGAAUCCUUCCAAAACUAUAAUCUGAUUCCUAUGUUUUUUUCUCUUCCCAUUUUCCGUUUUAAAAUAUUUGGCUAAGUUGUUAGUUGAAGAGUUGCACAACUCAGUGCACUAUUUUUCAGCAUCAUUUUUGUUUUGUGGGAAUUUACAUCAUGUAAAUUUUCUUUUAUUAAUUUCUUCAACUGCUGUUAGCUUAGGGCUUUUUGUGGCAUUUCUGUUUCUUUACUUUGCUUUUUGCGGGUGAUCCUUCUAUGCCCCUUGUGUAUUAAGUUCCCUCUCUUCGGGUGCCUUUUAAUAUAUUUUCAUAACUUGUAAUAAUAAUAAUAAUGUUUGGCUGGUACAAAAUGCUAUACUUUUUUUUUUCUUUUUUCUGUUAUAGAUGCAAAUUUUCCAUCCUUAGAUGCAUAUGGGUCAGACCAAAAAUUACGAAACGGUAGCACCAUAUGAUUUACUGGGCAAACUAUUAGGAUAAAGCCCUUGAAAGCAUGACAUGAUGUAAUAAAAUAAGAAUUCAUUAAUUUAUUUGUUAUGAUUUUUGGUCUCCCUUUUAUCAUUGAUUGCAUUAAUUAAUUGUCUGAGCAUUCAUGCUUAUAUCACUUGCAUUGUACAUGAUUUAGGUGCAUUAGGAGUUGCACAGAAGAUCUAAGUCAUGGAUUCCUUGUAAGAUGAUAAGUUGUUUGCAAUCAGUUCAUAGGAUUAAGUAAUCCAUUUGAGACUAUAGUGCACUACCUCCUAAUUGAAGGGAUGAUUUAUCUUAGUCAUCGGGGUUGUUGUCCAAUGGUGAGUGCAUUAGUGUGUAUGAUGAUAUAUUGAACAUGAUCUAUGGUGAACCAUAACAUUGACUAUCGAGUGAUCAUGAUUCAACGAGUUAUUAUAUUGCAUAAGAUCUCAACCUUAAACAGAAAUUGAGUUAAUAUUGAGAUCUUCAUUGACUUUGACCUAUAAGUGAGAUCCUAAGGUGGUAAUAUAUUUGCUAUGGGUUGAGUUAUUGUUAUUUAAAACAGGUGACAACAAGUAUUCUUAAGAUAGACACUAGGAUAUCUCAUGGGAUUGGGAUAAUGCGUGCUCUUAGGUGAUCCUAAGGACUUGUGAUUAUUUAAAUUGCAGUCAAUGUAAUUCUUUUAGUGGAAUUUGAUGUAUGUUUUUUAUAAGUUAGAGUAUGUCAGUUGAUUGUAUAAUAGGGGGAUUUAUGACUCAAGGAUUGUAGAGGUAAUCUUAAGAGGUUAAUAACAUCUAACCCAUUGGAUUCAAACACCAGUUCAUGAGGAGUCUCAAUAUAGUGGAUAGUAGGUCACAGACCUAAGAAAUGGGUUAAAUUGGAUUUAAUCAAUUUAUAUCUCAAUGUACUUUCAUAGGAUAUUGGAGUGCAAAUGACUCUCUUUAGUAGAGUGUUGAGUUAACUUCAAAAUUGGAUUCUAAGGGAGCUAGUCUAUAAGUCCUAGUGGUGUCCGCUUGAGCUUAGAUUCUUUGUUGGCAAAGUCUUGAGGUUUUAUGAAGAAUCAAUCAUUUAUGUGCAUUAGGGUGUUUUGGUUAAAAAUGGAAGGUUGCAUAGGAUUUUAUGAUUAAUUAUUUUUGUCUUUUAGGGAUUGGAUUAAUUAAUUAAUUGGAGUCUCAUUGGGACAGUUAAUUAAUUAGGACCUAGUGAACUUAAUUAAGUGACCCCAUCCUUACAUAAGCUUAAGUCACUUAAGCCAACAAGAAGGUUUAUAUAAACCCUUGAGUUUAGGGUUAGACACACAUGACAUUCCAAACUAUUGUCUUCAAGAUAGCCUCCAUCUCUCUCUCUCUCUCUCUCUCUCUCAAGAGGAUUGUAUAGCCAAUCUACACAAUUGUCAAGGUCUGAAGAACGAGUGAUCAGGUGGGAGAUUGUUGUGGUAGUUGAGAGCAUCUUCUUUAAUUGGAUUUUAAUCUAGAAACAUCUAGAUCUUAGGUAAUUUUUUAAGCCUUAGAUCAAAAGUUUUGGUAUUUAUUUCACUGCAAAUUACACCUUGUAUCCCUAAAUUACUAGAGAGCAUGCACCUAUGAUCCAGGGGUAUUCCAACACAAAGAUUGCCUAAUAUUUUACCCAACUUUUUAGACUUGAGUCUAAUCUCAUUAUUCCUGUUGGGUUUUUUUUUUUUUUUUGAUAGGUAAAGAAAAUUCAUCAAGAGCCAAAAGGCUAAAGGAAGGGUAUACACAGGGUAUACCAAAUACAAAGAAGCAAAAUACAAAUGAACAAACAAGCUUGACCCUUACUUGGUGGCUAGCCAGUCAAUGAAAUCUAUCAAAGACAAAGUGUGUUCCUCUAUGUAUACCCUAACCCAAUUCACAAAAGUGUACAAAAAAAUGGAUUUAAUAUCUUGAUCGUUCCUCUCAAUAUCAUCGAAAGCCCUUCUAUUCCUUUCUUUCCAAAUGGUCCACAUUAGGCAGAGGGGGGCAGCUCUCCAAGCUUUCUCCCUUUUCUUGCCCACAAAAGAACCAUGCCAACCCAGGAGGUUUCUUUUCACAGAGGAGUGCAUCACCCAUUGCACCCCAAAAAGGGAGAAGAUCAGAAGCCAUAACAUUUUGGCUUUCUCGCAAAACAUAAGAAGGUGAUCUGUGGUUUCCUCAUCUUGUUUACACAAAAAACAUCUGUUGGGAAUGCUCCAACCAAAUCUCUUCAGGCGGUCAGUGGUGAGUAGCCUGUUCCAAGCCGCCUCCCACCCAAAGAAGCUAGCCCUAAUUGGAACCCAAGGCGUCCAAAUAGUUCUAGCCGGGAAGGGGGGCUUGGUGUCCCUUGAAAGUGAACUAUAAAAAGACUUGAUAGAAAAGGUCCCAUUCUUGUUCUCUUUCUACCGGAACAAGUCCUCCACACCUCUUCUAAUGGUCAAAGGAUGAAGCUUACGUAAUAAGCUUUCUACUUCUCCCACCUCCCAAUCAUUAAGGUGCCUAUUAAAACGAAGUCCCCAGCUCCCCCCAACUUUGUCUUCCUCCCAAGCCUCAGUGACCCAGCCUUCUUUGUUGACGGAAAGAUUAAACAAGAUGGGGAAAGCUUCUUCCAGAGCUUGAUUUCCACACCACAAGUCCUUCCAAAAUUUCACUCUAGUGCCAUCCCCUAUAAUGAAGCGGGAAUGAGAACGAAAGUUCUCCCAACCAUUUCUGAUAGCCUUCCAAACCCCCACCCCAUAACGGUCACUUACUCCUUUGGAGCACCAUCCCCCCUCUUGAAGGUCAUACUUACUAGAGAUAAUUUGCUUCCAAAGGGGCUCAUUCUCAUUAGCUAAUCUCCACAACCACUUCCCAAGAAGGGCCUUGUUAAAAGUAGAUAGACUGCGAAUGCCCAGGCCUCCUUCCUUUUUAGUAGCACAAAUAGCCUUCCAACUCACCAAGUGGGGUUUAUUCUCUAAGGCACCACUGCCCCAUAAGAAAUCCCUUUGGAUCCUUUCAAGUCUUGCGCACACCUUCUUGGGGAUCACAAAGAGAGAAAGGAAAUAGGUUGGGAGGCUAGAGAGAGUGCUUUUUAGCAAGGUAAGACGACCACCUUUGGAGAGGUAUUGCCUUUUCCAGAGAGACAACCUUUUCCUGAAUCUUUCUUCCACUGCAUCCCACACCCUAGUAGAUUUGUAUGGGGCUCCAAGGGGAAGACCCAAGUAGGAGGUAGGUAAACUCCCUAUCUUACAUCCCAAGACCGACGCAAGAGUCUCCAUAGGAAUGCCUUCCCCCACUGGGAUGGCCUCCGUUUUGCUUAGAUUGACUUUUAAUCCUGAAAUCGCCUCAAACCACAUGAAGGUCCAGCUAAGAUAUUGCAAUUGAUCUGCUUCGGCGUCACAGAAGAUUAAGGUGUCGUCGGCAAACAAGAGAUGGGACACGAGCAGCCCCUCUCUUCCUCUACCUCCCACUCUGAAACCAGAAAUAAAGCCCCCAUUUCUUGCACAAGACAGCAAUUGGCUAAGGGCUUCCAUGGCAAAAAGGAAUAGAUAGGGGGAUAGAGGGUCGCCCUGUCUCAAUCCCCUAGAGCUACGAAAGAAGCCCGAGGGGCUUCCAUUAAUGAGGAUUGAGAAGGUAGUCGUAGAGCAGCACCAAUUCAUCCACUUAAUCCAUCUAUGCCCAAAUCCCAUCUUAGACAUCACAUCCAUGAGAAAGUCCCACUUGACAUGGUCAAAAGCCUUCUCAAUGUCCAUCUUGAGAAGGAUGCCCGGGUUGUUGCCUUUCAAUCUAGAAUCAAGGGCUUCAUUAGCGAUAAGAACAGCAUCCAAAAUCUGUCUCCCAUGAACGAAAGCAUGCUGAGAAUCAGAAAUCACUUCCCCCAUCAUCGAUUUCAAUCUAUUGGCAAGGACUUUGGCAAGCAAUUUGUACACACUCCCUACUAGGCUGAUUGGUCUGAAAUCUCUUAGGUCUUCGGUCCCCUCCUUCUUAGGAAUGAGCAAGAGGAACGUGGAGUUUAAGCUUCUUUGGAAAGUCCCAUGGAGGUAGAACUCUCUAAAGAGACCCAAAAUCUCUGGUUUAACAACGUCCCAACAAAACAACCAGAAAGCCAUUGUGAAACCAUCCGGGCCUGGGGCUUUGUCACCACAGAAGCUGCUUAGUGCUGCAAAAAUUUCUUCCUCUGAAAACAUAACUUCUAGGCUGCUGGCCAAGCCUUCUCCCAGCUCCUUGAAGUUAAGGCCAUUAAUACUAGGCCUCCAAUCCCCAGAAUCUGAGAGCAAGGACUGGUAGGCCCUACAAACACCUUCUUUUAUAUCUUCCAAGGAAGAGAGAUUCACACCAUUCACUUUAAUCUUAGACAGGAAGUUCCUUCUUGCCUUAGCAUUGGCCAUUUUGUGGAAAUAUUUGGUAUUUUUAUCGCCUCCUGUUGGGUUUUGUCAAGACCAUCCCCAUUUUUUUUUAAUGCUAUUAUAUAUCUAACCAGCUAACGAGCAGAACUUGAAGAUAACUUGUUGCUAAGAAGCUUUAAAGCCUUUGAAAACAGUUGCAAUGCAAUCUAUGGUCUAAGAACUUUCUAGUAGAUUCAAGAAAUUAUUUGCAAAUAGGUGGGUGAUAUGUUCAAAACGUUUAACUUAUUGUUAUUAUCUUGUAAUUUUGCACAUGUUUAUUUAUUAACAAUAAUACCACAAUAAGUACACAAGCUUGUAAGUAUAUUAAAAAAAUCAAAUCUGGUUUUCUGACACAUAAACCCUAGUCUGAACAAAAUUGGGAUUAGGCUGAGUAGUUUUUGGUCUAGGUCCAUGAAAAUCUAUCAGAAGUCAUCUAAGGUUGUUUAGAGGUGAGGUGGGUCUGGUUUGUUUACACUAAGUUGUAUCCCUAGCAUUGAAUUUGAAUCAGUCCCUUGGAUUUUACCUAUUUUUGUGCUUGAACUUGACCCAAAUUUUUUUAUUCCCACAAUAAGAAGUAGCACAACCUAUCCAAAUAUAAGAUGGCGUAGUCCCUUCUAAAUUUAUUUUUUGGUGAUUCAACCAUGUGCUCUCUAACCAUACAGCCAUAAUUAUCCUGCAAGCUUGAAGACAGUGGUUUUGUUUGUUUAAUAGGCUUUUGAGUUGGGUUAAUCAAAUAACUUGAAUGCCCUAUUUUACCCAAUGAGAUGUGUUAGGGAAUGCCAUAAUGUAUUUGGGAGGCUCUAAUGAUGUUAUUAGUUUGAGUUAGGUUCAUAAUGGACGGAGGUCUAAUUGAAUUUGUUAGGUUAACUUUUUCAAAUAAUUUUUACAUGUACAUAUCAACAUAGGCACAUAAAAACCAUUUUCAAUUAGAAGAAUAAGGAACAUAUCCAAUUCAGCUACUACUUGGAUGAGAUUGGUGUCCAUUUAAUUGAGCUAUGGUCAGGGUUAGGGUAAAUUCCAUAAAUUUUUGAAACCUAAGUUGUAUUUGGGUCAGGUUAAGGAUCGGUUGAUGUUGACCAUUUUGUGUUUUGAGAAUUUCGCCCUUGUGAUCUAAUUUCUUGGCUAGGAUAUCUUUAUUUAUAGAAGAGAAUUAGUCAAUUAAACAAAUAAGGAAAAAAGCUUAAUUAAAAAAUAUUUCCCAAUUAGAAAAUUUUCAUACAUAUUUUCUAACCCCCCCUAAGUCGGUGAAAAAAUAUUCUUCAUUCCUAACUUGCUUGUGAUGUCUUAGAAUGAACAUGUUGUAUGUCUCUUGGUCAUUAUAUCAUCCAAUUGGUCCUUAAUUUCAAACUCACAGAAGAACGUGACAUUAAAGAUGGUAUGGUUCAGGUUUUCCAUUCUCUUUUGUCAGAAACAGAUGAGUGGAGGCCCAGAUGCAAUGGGUUGUAGGUUGGGGUCCUGGAAGGGGAAGAUGCAGCAAUCCUAGAGGCUCCCUUCUCUGAGGAAAAGGUUUUUGGUGCUCUCUCGGACCUCAAUGGAGAUAAAGCUCCUGGUUCUGAUGGUUUCUCAAUGGCGUUUUGGCAAUUCAGCUGGAGUUUUCUGAAGGAGGAAGUUAUGGGGUUCUUGAAGGAUUUUCGUGAUCGGGGUAGGUUCGUCAAGAGCAUUAAUGCUUCUUUUCUAGUUUUAAUUCCUAAGAAAGGAGGAACUGAAGAUCUCAAGGACUUUAGGCCUAUAAGCUUGGUGGGUAGUCUUUACAAGUUGUUAGCAAAGGUUCUAGCUAAUAGGCUUAAAAAGGUGAUGGGUAAGAUAGUGUCCAAGUCCCAAAAUGCAUUUGUGGAGGGAAGGCAAAUCCUAGAUGCCUCGUUGAUUGCGAAUGAGGUGAUUGAUUUGAUGCAAAAAAGUGGGGGUGGUGACAUCCUUUGUAAGUUGGAUAUUGAGAAGGCAUACGACCAUGUAAAUUGGAGUUUUCUUCUUUGGUUGCUGGAAAGGAUGGGUUUUGGAGCUAAGUGGAUUAGCUAGAUUCAGUGGUGUAUUGGUAUUGUCAAUUUCUCUGUCCUUAUUAAUGGAACUUCCUCCGGAUUCUUCCAAAGUUCUCGGGGAUUGAGACAAGGGGUUCCUUUAUCCCCUUAUCUUUUCGUGAUUGUCAUGGAGGCUCUCAGUUGCUUGUUGAAGAGAGCAAAGGAGGGAGGGUUUUUGCCGAGGUGGCAACUCAGUGGUAGAGGACGUGCGGGAGUGGAGAUCACUCAUUUGCUGUUCGCAGAUGACACUUAAAUAUUCUGUGAGCCUUCCAUUGCUAAGGUGUCCUAUUUGAGUUGGCUUCUUAUGUGGUUCGAAGCCAUGUCAGGGUUGAAGGUGAAUUUGGACAAAAGUGAGAUCAUCUCGGUGGGGAGAGUGGAGAAUGUAGAGGGUUUGACUCUUAAGUUUGGUUGCAAGGUUAGCAAGUUCCCGUCUUCUUACUUGGGUCUUCCUUUGGGUGCUCGUUUCAAGGAGGUGGCAGUUUGGGACGAGGUUGAGGAAAGGCUGAGGAAGAGACUUUCCUUUGGGAAAAAGGUAGUAUAUCUCCAAAGGGGGCAGACUGACUUUGAUCUGGAGCACUUUGUCCAGUAUGCCUAUCUACUGUAUGUCCCUGUUUUAUAUGCCAAGGAGUGUGAGUUUGAGAUUGGAGCGGAUCCAAAGGGACUUUCUUUGGGGUGGUGGGGCCUUAGAGAGGAAGCCCCAUUUAGUGGAUUGGUCUAUUAUUUGCUCAGAUAAACGAAAGGGUGGUUUGGGUGUGAGGAAUUUGGCGUUGCUGAAUAAGGCCUCUUAUGUAAGUGGAGUUGGCGUUUUGCGGUGGAGAGGGAAACUUUGUGAAGGCAAGUUAUUUGUGCGAAGUAAGGGGAAGAAGAGGGCGGUUGGAGGUCCUAUGUUGUGAGAGGUAGUUUUGGGGUCGGUUUGUGAAAAGCGAUUAGGAGAGUUUGGGAUGUGAUAGACGACAAUUUGGUUUAUUCUAUGGGGAAUAGUAGGAGGGUUAGAUUUUGGAAGGACAAGUGAGGUGGAGAUGAUCCUUUGUGUACUUCUUUUCCCUCUUUAUUUGCUAUAUCCUUGGCUAAGGAGGCUUGGGUGGAAGAUGCGUGGAGCCAUUCUGGUGGGGGAGUGUGGGCUCUUAGGUUCUCUAGGCGGCUUAAUGAUUGGGAAGUGUUCGAUGUGGAGUGUUUUCUCUUAAGGCUGCAAGGGAGAAGGGUUUGUAGUGAUGUGGAAGAUCAAGUAGUUUGGACAAAGGCAAAGGACAGAAGAUUUUCUAUUAAAUCUCUAUAUAAGGCUUUGGAAUCGGAAAGACUUGGGGAUUUUCCUUCAAGAGUUAUUUGGAACUCUUUGGUGCCUCCGAGGGUGAGUUUUUUUGCUUGGGAGGCUAUGUGGAAAAAGGCCUUAACCUUGGAUCGUAUUCAGAGGAGAGGGUUCUCUUUGGCUUCUCUUUGGCUAAUAGAUGUUAUUUGUGCCUGUCAGAGGAAUAGUCUAUUGAUCACAUCCUCUUGCAUUGUGUGGUGGCAAGAAGUUUAUGGAGCUUACUUUUUUCCCUCUUUAGGGUUUCGUGGGCGCUCCCUUUUUCAGUUAGAGAGGCGUUAUUGGGGUGGCUUGGGCCUUGUGUGGGAAAAGGGAGGAAGAAAGUGUGGUUUUCAGCUCGCUUGCGCCUUUUUUAGAUUGUUUGGAAGGAAAGAAACAGUAGGGCUUUUGAAAACGAGGAGCAUUCGAUUCAUGGGUGUAAAUUGUUUUUCCUUUGUAAUCUUUGGGUGUGGACUAAGGGGUUUUUUGGCUCUGGCCUCCUUUUCGUUGUAGAUUUUUUAGAUUGGUUAAGCCUUGUUUAAGGGGUUCUUUUUUCUCUCUAUUGUAUACUACCUGUAUACUUUGGGCGCGUCCUUGAUGUGCCUUUUUUUCUUUUAAUAUAUUGCUUUUUAUUCAUAAAAAAAGAAAGUUAUCUUUUGUGCCACCUCCAAAUUAUCUUUUGUUACCACGAUUUUGUCAACAUAUACUAUGAGAGUUGUUAUCUUUCCCUCUUUUGAAAAGAGUUUGAUCUCCUUGGCUUUGAUUAUAGCCUAUUUUUUCAUUGCUUUAGCAUAUCUCCCAAACCAGGCUUGAGAUGAUUGUUUGAGACCAUAUAGAGCCUUGUUUGGUUUACAAACUUUAUUCCUAAGGAAAUCUUCCUUUCCAUAUAGACCUCUUCCUCUAAAUUUCAAUGUAGGAAAGCAUUCUUUAUAUCAAAUUCCUGCAAGGACUGAUCAAAAUUAGUAGCUAGGGAUAACAAAAUAUGAAUAACAUUCAUCUUUGCCAUUGGAGCAAAAAUUUCUAGUAAUCUAUUGCAUGAGUCUAUGUGUAACACUUCGCUACCAUUCUCACCUUAUCUCUCUCCUAUGUUCCCUAUACUCUAUGCUUGGUGGUGAAUGCUGAUUUACACUCCACCUCUCUCUUGCCCUUUAAAAGAUCAACAACCUACCAAGUCUUAUUUUUCUUUAAAGAACUCAUUUCUUCCAACAUGGCUUUCUUCCAAUUGUCAUCCCUAAGUGCCUCUUGAAUAGUUCUAGGUAUUUCUAUGGAGUUGAGUUUGGAAACAAAUGCUUGAUAAGAGAAUGACAAGUUGUCAAAGGAAACAAAGUUGGUUAGAGGAUGUUGGGUGUAUUGUUUUUUUUUCCUUUUUUAAGGGUGGUAGAUUAAUCAAGGUUGCUAAUGACAAUGGACGUAGACACAAUUUGAUUUUCAAUACCUUUAUCAAAGUCAAGGUUUGGAGCAUGUAGUAAUUCUAAAGUUGACUGCAUCCUCCUUGAACUCUCCCCUUCUUUCCUUUGAACAAUAGACUUAGGCUUCCUCAUUGACUUAGGAGAAACUGAUUCUAAAGUAUUGUGGGGGGAAAGGUUUAGGAGAAUAACUAGUUUUAGAAAGUGGAGGGGUUAGGUCAAGAGAAAAUUUCUUAUUUUAUGCAAAAGGCUCCCUUCGAAGAUGCGGUUGUUGUCUGUUAAAAGUGACAUCCAUAAAUACAAAUAAGCUUGGGGAAUUAGGAAGAUAACACUUAUAUCCUUUUUUUAUUUGAGUAUUACCAAUGAAUAUAUAUUUAAGAGCUCAGGGAUUCAAUUUAGUUGUAUGAUGAACUUGAAUGUGAACAAAGACCACACAACUAAAUAUUUUUGGGGCAAUUUGACUAAAACCAUCAAAGUUUCGGUUCAAUUAAGUGAGAAGACUUAUGAGGUCUUUGAAAUCAAGCACUUUGGAAGGCAAUCUAUUGAUAAGAUGAGCAACAAUUAAAAAAGCUCUUCUCAAUGUCUUUAGAUCAUUGAUUUGAAAAAUCAAGGCUCUAGUUACCUUUAGCAAAUGUCUAUUUUUUUUGUUCAACUAUCCCAUUUUGUCAUGGUAUAUCAACACUAGAAAAUUGGUGAAUGAUUCCUUCUUUUUUGAAGUAUGGUGAUGGAUAUUGGUUGACAUGCUCUAUCCCAUUAUCUUAUCUUGCUGUUUAGAUUUUGGUAUCAAAUAGGGUAUCAAAUAUUGGUUGACCCAACUCAGGCUAUAAUCCCUUCAUAACAUUGUAACACUUAGUUCAAAUACCUUGUUUGGCAUCAUGGAUUUUUGUCUUGAGUUCAUAAAUCUGAGCAACACCCUGUACCUUAGAAUAGGUUUAUUGAAUUGCAAAUCAAAUUCCCAUUGUCGGAGAGAGAAACAUGCAAGUAUGGAGCUCCACAACCAAGACAUGAAAUGAGAAUCUUCUUCAUCCCAGGAGACAAAAUUUGGGUCAUCCUUGUUUAUCAAAGUACCAAGAAGAUGACUUAGCUUCCCCUUUCCUUUAAUAUAUGUUUUCAUCAAUUGAGACCAAUGUAGAUGAUUUUCACCAUUGGGUUGUUGAUAUGUUAUUGCUGAUUUGGAAAGAUGGAGAAGAAAAAUUGUCAGUCUUGAAGCCUAUUAGUAUAAAAGAAAGUUGAGUUACUAACUAUUGAGGAUAUUAUGUUGAUUCUAUAGGGAAGAUUAUGUCAUUUCCUAUUGUAAAUGAGAUUUAAUUGUAGAUAUUUUUGUAAUGUACUACUAGAGAUCAAAAUGUAAUUAGGAUAGGCUAGCUGCUAGCUGUUUCUCCUUAUUUUUCUCUACUUGGUCAAACUAUUUUGUAUUAUUUAAAGUAUUGUACUUAUUAAGAAAUGUAAGAAAGAAAAUUUCCAAGCUCUCUUCAGCUUUCUUCAACUUUCUUCAUGGUAUCAGAGCCCAUUUAGGAUUUCUAGAAUUUUUUGCUACUCUUUUUUUCAAUCCUCUUUUCAAAUGUCUGAAAUAACUUUUGAGAUAUUUGAUACUUCAAUAGGGCAAGUUGCAAUCCCUAAAUCAACAAGACCUAAGUUUCAAUGCCUGGGUCAUCAACUCAAUGGAGCUCGAUGUUAGUCAAGGUUAUAUGUUCUUUUCUAUAGCUAAAGAGAUAUAGGAAGUAGUGGCACUUACCUACUCUGAUUAGCAUAAUGACUCAGUUAUAUGAUCUGAGAAAUGAAGUCUGUGACACUAAGGAGAAAGAACUGUGACAGCCUCCUAUAAUGCCCUUAAUCAACUUUGGUAGGAGUCAAAUAUCUAUCAGGACUAUGAUUGGAAAUGUCCAGAAGAUAGUGUGAAGUUCAAGCAGAUACUUGAAAAGGAGAGGAUAUUUGAUUUUUUUGGGUGAGUCUAAAUCUCGAGCUUGAUCAGGUUUGUAGUCAAAUUCUUGGGGAAAAAUCACUUUCGUUUGUUUGAGAGGUAUAAUGAGGUUAGAAGGGAAAAGAGUAGGUUAUCAAUCAUGAUGCGCAUCCUCAACACUGGAACUUCAGGAUUGGUUAUCAUCAAACUGAGACAAUCCUAAUAAGUAGGCAACAAAGCAGUGGCAAAAAGAUUAGUUACAAAGAUAUAUUGUGGUUUGAUCAUUGCCACAAGUCUCAUCAUACAAGAGACAUAUGUUGGAAGUUACAUGGAAAGCCUCAAGGGUGGGGCAAAGGGAACCAAAUCUCCUAGUAAUAAUGGACACAACCUAGAAGUCAUGACUGAAUCAAGAAUCAAGCUGUUAGGAGCUCUAGGAAUCUAGAACAACCCUUUUUCACCAAGGAACUACUGGAGCACUUAUAUGGGUUUAUGAGUUGAACACAAAUAUCUUCUAAUCCUACCUCUUCAUCUCAUUUGGCACAGAUAAGUAACUUCCUUACUGGCUUGCAUACUUCAAACUUAAAAUCAAACCCCUCGAUCAUUGAUUUAGGGGCCACAAGUGGUAAGAUUGAGACUAGAGAACAUACAAAGGGACUUUCUUUGGGAUGGGGAGGAUUAGAGAAUAAGCCUCAUCUUGUAAAGUGGACGAUCGUCUAUUCAGAUGAAAGAAAGGGUGGUUGUAGAUCAUGUGAAGCCCCUCGUAGGCACUUAUUUUUCAGUGUGAAACUUAUGACCUUGCUAAACACCACCAAACUCAUUUUCCUACAAAAAAUUAUGAGAAAUCCAACCCAUUUGCUUUUGUGCAUGGCAACUUACAGGGGGCUUCACGUGUUCCUAGUGUCAUGGGUGCUAGGUGGUUUGUUACCUCUAUUGAUGACCAUACCAUAGUGUGUUGGGUCUAUUGUGUCAAAGAAAAAUUUGAGACUAAAAAGACCUAGAAAGUUUUCCACAAAAUGAUUCUAACGCAAUUUCAAGCCAAAGUGUGUAUCCUUAAAAUUGACAAUGGAAAGGAAUACUUCUCAAAAGUAUUGGGAAUCUACCUUGAGGAAAAUGAGAUUACCCAUCAAUCAUCAUGUGUUGAUACACCUAAACAAAAUGGAAUAGCCGAGAGAAAAAGUUGUCAUUUGCUCGAAGGUGAGAGCCUUAAUAUUUCAAAUGGGGGUGCCAAAACAAUAUUGGGGUGAAGCAAUUUUGACAGCUUCAUACUUAAUCAAUAGGAUGCCUAUUCCAGUGUAAAAAUUUAAUACUCCUCUUGAUACCCUUAAACAAUCUUAUCCCAUUUCCAACUUUAUUUGGUCUCCCAUUCCUCCUAAGGUUUUUAGGUGUGAGGCUUUCAUUCAUGUUCACAGUCAUAAUCGAAGCAAGUUAGACCCCAGAUGUGUGUUUCUUGGAUAUUAUUUAACACAAAAAGGAUAUAAAUGCUUCCAUCCUCCUCCUUCGAAAUACUUUGUUUCUAUGGAUGUUCCUUUCUUUGAAGAUAAAUCAUAUUUUAACCAAACUUCUCUUCAGGGCGAUAGUAGAGUGGAAGAUCAAUUUUGUGAUGUUUUACCUAUGCCAAUGCCCUAGAGUCCCUUGCUUGUGAGUCGUGUAUUGGUGCUACUAGAGAAUCAAAAGAGGGAGUGUGUGUUUGAGAAAAAUGUUAGUGUUAAUUGUGAGGGGGAGAGUGUGACUAUUCUUAGUCAACCACAACUGCAGGUGUACACUAGAAGGAAUAUAGAGGCUGAAAAUCUUCCUCAACAUUGCCAAUCCUCUAAUCCUAACAUGGUGGAGCUGGACUAUGGUGAGUCACAAUUUUAUUUUCUCAGCAAUAAGUUGAAUCUUGAUGUGCCAAUAGCCUUUAGAAAGAGUGUUAGGUCUUGUACGCAACACCCCAUUGCCAUGUUUGUCUCUUACCAUAGACUAAAUUCAUCCUUUAAGGCCUUUACUACUAACUUUUGCAAUGUGAAUACUCCUAAGACUAUACAGGAUGCUUUAGAAAGUCUAAAGUGGAAAGAGGUAGUGAUGGAAGAAAUGAUGGCCUUACACAAGAAUCAGACUUGGGAUUUUGUAGGACUAUCCCAUGGCAAUAAGACAUUGUCUGUAAAUGGCUGUUUACAAUAAAAUUCAAAGCAAAUGUAAUUAUGGAUAGAUAUAAAGCUAGAUUGGAAGCAAAAGGGUUUAUUCAAACCUAUGAGAUUGACUACCAAGAGACAUUUGCACCAGUGGCCAAGAUGAAUACAGUGUGGGUACUCCUAUCUCUUGUAGCCAAUUUGGAGUGGCCACUACCCCAGUUAGAUGUAAAUAAUGCUUUCCUCCAUGGUGAUCUUUAAGAGGAAGUUAAUAAAGAAAGAUAUCAGAGGCUAGUUGAUAAGUUAAUUUAUUUAUCACACACAAGAACUGAUAUUCUAUUUGCUAUGAGUAUUGUUAAUCAAUUUAUGCAUGCUCCAAAUGAAGAACACAUGAAUGCAGUGGUGAUAUUGAGGUAUUUAAAGAGGCUUUAUUGGGAAGGGUCUUCUAUUCACUAAUGUCAUCUAGAAGUUGAAGCCUACUUUGGUGCAAAUUGGUAAACUAUAAUUGAUAGAAAAUCUACUUUUGGGUAUUGUACCUUUAUUGGAGCGAAUUUGGUGACUUGGAGAAGCAAAAAACAAGUUGUGGCUAGAUCAAGUGUGGAAGUAGCAUUCAGGUCUAUGGCACAAGGAAUUUGUGAGCUAAUGUGGCUAAAGUCUCUAAUGAAGGGACUCAAAAUAGCUAAUGGAGGGUCAAUGAGGCUGUAUUGUGACAAUCAAGGAGCUAGUAGCAUAGUUUAGAACCCAAUCCUACAUGAUAGAACAAAACAUGUUGAGAUAGAUUGACAUUUCAUUAAGGAAAAGUUGGAUGUGGCCUGAUUUGUAUUCCUUUAUUCUCAAUGAAAGAACAAUUAGCAAACCUUUUCACUAAAGGCCUUCCAAGAUAAUUAUUUCAACCCAUAAUCAUCAAGCUAAGAAUGACAGACAUAUUUGAACCAGCUUGAGGGGGAGUGUUGAGGAUAUUAUGCUGAUUUUUUUGUGAAGAUUAUGUUAUUUCCUGCUGUAAAUGAAAAUUAAUUGUAGAUUUAUUUGUAAUGUACUCCUAGAGAUCAGAAUGUAAUUAGGAUAGGCUAGCUGGCAGCUGUUUUUCCUUAUAUAGCUCUACUCAGUUAAACUUGACCAGCAAUUAAGGCUGGUCUGGGAAAACAACAAAUAACAGCCAAAAUGCUGGUCUGUGGUUAACGAAAUUUCUGUUAAGUAAUGAAGACUGAACAAGCUUACAGUUGAGCAAUGAAGGCUGAGCUAUGACUGAGCACUAAAGGCUCUAUGGUGGGAAGAUGGAUAUCAGCAAAGUUAAUUUUCCUGCUCUGAUACCAUGUUGAUUAUUUAGGGUUUUGAUACUUUCUCCCUUGUAUGUUUUCAAUAGAAUUACACCAAAUAUGUACAAAUUGUAGGAAGUCAGAAAAAAGGGAGGAGCUAAUUUUUAGCCUAGGACAUCUCUAUUUACCCCACAAAAAAAAAAGUAAAAAAAAAAUUAAAAAAUCAGGCAACCUGAUUAACAAGGAAAAAAGAUUCAAUCACAAAUAUUUCCCAGUUGGAAAUUCUUCAUAUAGCCUGUGUAUUUUUUCAAAGAAUUGAUUGUAGUAGUGGAAGGUUGGCAAUGAUGGCCUAAGGUUGAGUAGAAGAUAUGUAGCUAAAUCCAUAUGACAGACCUGAUGGCCAGUAUGCCUCAAGAAAGGAAAAAGGCAAUGAAAGGAUCUGUCUGAAAAAAUUCUUCAUAUAGACAGAUCCUUUCAUUGCCUUUUUCCUUUCUUGAGGCAUACUGGCCAUCAGGUCUGUCAUAUGGAUUUAGCUACAUAUCUUCUACUCAACCUUAGGCCAUCAUGCAUUUUCUAGGGAGCUUGUACUACAAAUUUUUUGAUUUAUGUUGGUUUUGUGACGCCUUUAAUUUAAAUAAAGCCAGUCUCUCGUCUCAGUGCAGUUAUGAAUUUGCAUUGCACAUGAACAUUCAUGUCUGCUAGUACCUUUACUUCUCAGUGAUGUGUUGAUAUUGCUGUUUCCUUGUUUUGCCACUUAUCCAUGUCAACAUCCACUCAUUUUAUGCCCAUGUUUCUUGACUUCCACCGCUUGCCUAAUGGCUGUUUUAUAAAGUUUUAAUUUGAUAGCUAUUCAUUGAUCACAGAAUACUCCAAAAGAAUCCAACAUUGCCUAAGCUGAUCUUGCCACAAAUUUUUCUAUUUCCUCAUUCUCACUCGACAAUUGAUGCUAUUUCCUCAUUUUUAUUCUACCCUUGAUUUGUAUUAAAUCUAUUUUUACAACAUGUACACAUACGUGCGCGCGCAUACACACACACACACACACACACACACACACACACACACACAUAUAUAUAUAUAUAUUAAAAUGUAAUAAAAAUAUAUAGCAAGAAUGGACUUUAAUACAAGACUGGGCUUAUAUUAAAGACCUCUUUGUGCCCUUUUAGAUUGUCUCGUCAGCCUUUUCAUGAUUGUCCUUUUUCCUUGUUUACUGUAUUUCUUUGAUUAGUUGGACUCUAGACCGCAGGCUGUUUGUGGGUGUGGUUUUUGCUUCUCUUUGUCUGUUUUAGCUUCCUUUGCAUGCCUCCUCUGAACUUGGGGGUGCCCCCCUUUUGGUUAUUUUUGUUAGAUGCUCUUUUUAAUCAUUUCCUUACUUUACCAUAACAAAAAUAUUUUUCCUAGAUCUUUUGAUUCCAAAACAUCUCUUACCUCUCAACUUUGCUUUUGAGAUCAUCUUUAUCUUCUUCUAAUGUUUUUUAUUUAUUUUAAUUUUAAUUUUUGUUACUAGCUAAUCGAACAAGAAGCAAUUGAGCUGAAGAACAGGUUUUCCACUCCGAGGCGUUCAAUGUUGGAGGACACUGAUAGUGGUCAACUUGAAGAUGUGGAUGUUAUACCAAAUGAAGAAAUGCUACUGGUACACAACUGGGCCAGUGUUAUAAUUCAUUAUAUUUGUAUCUUUGUUUUUCUUUAAAGUUUAAACAUUAGAUUGAUACUAUCUGUUUUUUCAUCGGACUCAGGGAACUGAUGAUUGAUCCCAUUUUUUUGCAUACAAUUUUCAGGCUGUUAGUGAAAAAGGUUAUGUCAAGCGGAUGAAACCUAAUACCUUCAAUCUCCAAAAUCGUGGAACAAUUGGUAAAUCUGUUGGGAAAUUGAGAGUGAAUGAUGCAAUGUCAGACUUCAUUGUUUGUCAUGCACAUGACUAUGUCCUGUAUUUCAGGUAUCUUUAAUCUGGUUUGAAUUUCAAAUUCCAAUAUUUUCCCUUUUGCAAUUUGAUUAUGAUGACUCAUUUUAUUUCUUUUUCCACUUUUUCUUUUUUUUUUCUUUUGAUAGGUAACUUCCUCUUUCCUCUCCCCCACCUGAAAUGCUUUCCAAUCACUGUGUGUGUGUGUGUGUGGUUUGUAACUGUUGAAAAUGCUAAUUAAGGAUUUUGACUUUGUGUGUGUUUUCGACCUUGGUAUGACCAGAAAGCUUCUAUAUAUUUAUUUCUCCUUUAUGUUAAGUAAUAUAGUUCUUGACAGUACCAAAAUAAGAUGAAUGGUAUUGAAGUUUUAUUAUAGGGAAGCCCAACAGUCAACUAGUUACCUUGUUUGUCUACCUCUUGAAGAACCACCAAGUUUUUGUUGAUAUUCAUUUAAAUACAGUUUGCAUGGGGCUUCAGUUCCCAUCUUAUUCCAUUUCUAAGAUAUAGCUAUCUUUGCCAAUUAUGCUUUAGAUUGUGGUUGAUAACAUAAUGGACAUUGUCAUUUCUACCUCAUCUGUUAUCUUUUAUUUUGGCCUGAUGAACAAAAACUGCCAUUCAGUGAUAGGGGAAUAGUGCACUCAGCUCGUGCAUAUAAAAUUCCAGAAUGCACCCGAACUGCUGCAGGCACACCACUGGUUCAGGUAUCCACCAUUUAUUUUGUUUUAUUUUAUAUUUUUUGUUUUGUCUUCUGCUCUAACUGCUUAAGAAGGUUGUUAUAAUUCUCAUUCUCAUGCCAGAUCUUAUGUUUAUCUGAUGGUGAGAGAAUAACUUCCAUAAUUCCUGUGAGUGAGUUUGCUGAAGAUCAGUUUCUACUGAUGCUUACAAUGAAUGGAUACAUCAAGAAAGUAUCAUUGAAUUUUUUCUCCUCAAUCCGAUCAACAGGAAUCAUAGCAAUUCAAUUGGUUUGUACCUCUCUUUUUCUUAAUGAGCAGUUUUCUUUUGAAAAAAAAAAAAAGAAUGGUCCCUUUAGACUUCAAUGACUUGACAGGUUCCUGGUGAUGAGCUCAAAUGGGUCCGUUGCUGUACCAAUGAUGACCUUGUGGCCAUGGCUUCACAGAAUGGAAUGGUUAUUUUGAGUUCCUGUGAGAUUGUAAGUUCACUAAUUUCUUUCCAUUCCAUUAAUAAGUGGGAAAUUCUGUUCAAACGUUGACCAUGUUGGCAGGAAUCGAGUAAUAGCUGUAACAUGGGCUAAGAGACAGAAAAUGAAAAAUAAAUAGGAAUAGAAAAGAAAAUGCCUUCACGCACUUAUUUAUUUUUGUUUUAGAAGUAUUUGUUUCUUGUAAUCCAUGUUUUUGUAUCCAAAGGUUAAGAAUUUUCUGUAUCAAACAAAAGUCAAGUGCAAGAACAAAAAGAGAAAUAUAUUAGAAAUUUGUGUAGAUCAAUUGCCAAUAGUAUAUAGGAAACAAGAAUAUAUGGAAAGAUUUGUAAUUGAAUGAUCAUUUGGCAAAAAAAAGCUAAUUAAAUGAUCACCUGGAAAAGAAAAAUAAUGUACCUUUAAGCUUCUUGAGUAAGAUAGUUAUGCUUCUUUAAAUCUAUUGGAAGGUGCCAUAUAAAAUGCACUUGAGUAAUGUUCUUCUAUGUGUGGAAAUCCAUAGUAUAAAUCUGUGUUAACAGUUGUGUCACACUUGUGGUGCAAUUGUAUUUCCAAUUCUAACUUAUUCCCUGAUUUUAUAAGAGGCUUUCUCUCCUAAAAUCAAAUAUUAAAUUUCUUUUCUAAGGUAUCCAAUGGUCUUAGCCAUUCAUGUAUAAAUAUUGGUACUAUAAUCAAUUCGAAAAAUAGAGAAAUAGAAGUGUUUUUUUUUCUCCCUCAAAUUUCUGCACUAUGAAAUGGAAGAACCUCUACAAAAUGAUGCAGAAAUCAGGAUUUUUUGCCUGAAUUUUGGUGAAAUAUUGGUGUUUCAGAGGAGGUCGACAUGAAAUUUGGAGCAAAAACUUGGUUGGACCAAGUUUUGAUGACUUUUUAGCUUUAUCAUUGAUAUUUCCCUGUUGUCCCAAAAAAAAACAAUGAUUAUCACCAAAUAUUAAAUUAUGCAUGCAUAUUGUUUAUAUGGAUUUUUUACGUAUUCAUAUAAAAAAAUUAAAUAUUAAAAUAAAAUUUUAGCAAAUAUAUUAAUUUUAAUUAUCUAUUUUUCAAAUUCCAUUUAAUCGAUUAUUGAAAAUAUAGAAAUCAUUAUGGUAAUAUUUUUUAUGAGUAUUUUUUUAUGUCUUUUGUAUAAUAAUUACAUAUAAGAGAAAUGUAUACUUGGAAAUAAAAUUAUAAAUAUUUUUAAACAAAAAAAAUAAUAAUUAUACAUAUAUCAUCAUUUAUCUUAUAUCCUUAAAUACAUCCAAUCUAGAUAGAUAAACAUUUAGUUGUGUUUUCAAAUUCUAUAUAUUACUGUCACAUAUUUCAAAUUUAAUCAUGCAUAGAUAUUUUUCUUCAAUAAAACAACUUCAAUGUGUAUUAUUGCUUAUUUUAUCAUUUCUUGGACUUUUUUUCAAUAUUUCUAUGGGUUUUGAUCAAUUUCAAUCUCAUCAAUAUAUUUUUUUUUUAAUUUCCAUUCAAUAUUUUCUUAAAAUCCAACUGCCAAUAUUUCAGUAUUUUUUGAUAUUUUGAUCCUUACCUCUACAAAGGGUGUCUGAACUGUUCUUUUGUUGCAUGAGAAAUAGAUAAGUAGGUAAAUAAGUAAUAUGCACCAAGGGUUUGUAUAUUUAGAGCUCGUUUAGAAGUGAUUUUGAAAGGGGUUAAAAAUGCUUCCUAAUGCUUGGAAGCACAUUAAAAAAUUAGGUGUUUGGUAAAUUUUUUAAAAUCACUUUUAAAUAUCUGAAUAAUCACUUAAUCAAUUCCUAAACAAUCAUUUGAUAGGUAAUUCUUUCAAAAAGCACUUUUUUGUCAUAUCAAAAACACUAUCAAAACACUUUUUUUUAGUUUCUAUUCAAAUACUAAACAAUUCUUUUUAAAAAUGUUUCUAAUGGAAGCGCUACCAUAAAAAACACUACAGAUAACAACACUUUAACCAGAAUCACUCUCAAACAAACUCUUAAUCAUAAAUCUUUAAUGGUAUAAAUUUUGUUAAUUUUAUUAAAGUAUAUUUACAUUUUAAGUGUUUGCUUAUUAAUUUGUGUUCUUGUUUUGAUAGAGAAAAAGAAGAUUCUGUUCUAUGUAUCCCUGUUACAAAUAUUUUUGGCUCAAUUCCUUUGUUUGACUUUUAAACUCUAUAUUAUUCUGGGUCUAAUUUCAUGAGUUUUAAACUCUAUAUUAUUCUGGGUCUAAUUUCAUGAUGUAGCAAUAUUCUGUGAAUUGUAUACAGAAGAUUUGUAUUCAUAGUUCUCAGUUUUCUCCUUUACUUCCAUGGUUGCUGUGGACUCAGAUUCGAGCUCUAGGAAGAAAUACUAGGGGGUCCAUUGCCAUGAGAUUGAAACAAGGGGAUAAGAUGGCAAGCAUGGACAUAAUACCAGCAGCAAUUCGGAAAGACUUGGAGAAGGCAUUGGAAGACCGCCAGAGCCGGUAAUUUCCUAACCAUUAUUUUGGAUGUUUGCCAUAUGUUCUACUGAUUAGAAUGGUUAUAUUUAAGUAAAUAUUCCUGAUAUUGGAUGGUCUACUAUAAAUAGACCUCUGUUAUUGUUUCGACAAAAAAUCAAGUGGAAUUUGCUGAUUUUGCAAUAUGAGUAUCAGUCUGAUAAUACCUGGUAAUCAUAAAAUCACAUUAUGUCCAAAUACAUGGUGGGUUAUGAGCAAUUUUUCAUCUUGACAUGGUAAAAUAUAAUGCUAAAGCAUAUAAAAUCUACCGGGAAGACCUUUUGAAAAAUUCAUGAAACCAAAAUUCACUGAAAAAGAAAAUAUAAAGACAUAAAGGGGAAGACCUGUGCAUUCCUUGUGGUAUCAAGUUAAUUUCAUUACAUCCUAGUAUCUGCAUAGAUUGUACUUGAAUCAUUGUAUGAUGUCCUGAAUACUAAUAAUUAAAUAAUGUGAUAUUAGUACUUGUAAGCAUUUAUUAUAUGCUGCCUAGCAUGCACAUUUUUGCAUUCUAUGUACAACAUGUUUAUUAUGUAAUACUCAUAGAUAACAAUUUUUUUUGUUCAUAAUUAUAUAAUAUUAUCUUUAUUAACACUUUCCAAAGGUUUUACAUAGAAUUCCCAUGUGCUGCUACUAAUUUCUGUCCUCAUUCCUCAUGGGAAUGAGAUAACAAUUAUUUCUAUUGAGAUUUCUGUAUUUGGGACAAUCAGUUUCUUUUUCACCAUCUAUAUUUAAUUCCUAGGCUGCAUAUCUCACUUCUGAGUUGAUAUAUUUGCUGGGGGUAGGGGUGACCAAGCCCAUAGACUGUCUGGAGGAAAAAUAAAAAUAUAAAUAAAAAAACAAAUAAAACUGUUGUUUGUUGGAAUUUUCUGAUUUUAGCAGGCUGAUAACGUCUCUUGUUGUAGGGGGACCAUUUUCCUAAUAAUCUUUUGAAUCGGAAUGCUUUUUGUGGGUUUGAGCUUUCUGGAUGCUACCUCAUCUAUGUAUAUGGAUGUAUUAUCAAAAUAAAAAAUCUGACUUGAUUAUGGUUCAAGGUUAAAAUCCAGAGACUUCUAACCCAAUUUGAGGUUUUAAUAUUUUAUGUUGAUAACUAUUUUAAUAAUAUUCUAUUUAAAUAGCCUCUAUGGGCAGCCCAAUUGGAUGGCACUCCAUGUCAAGAAUGGGAGGUCCCAGGUUUUGAGUCCCGAGUUUAUGUGAUACAUGGAUCUUGGAGAAUGGUCACAUCUCUGGUUUUCCAAUCUCAUGUAAAGCAGGACUAAUGAGCUUCCUCAUUAUAAAAACUGUGUGAACAGGUUGGGGUUUUAAUCUUAUAAUUAAUUUAUCAGAAUUGUGUCAGCCACUUUUGGAUGGUCUUAUAUGAGCCGAUCCAAAUCUGGUCCUUUGUCUACCCUAAAUAAAUGGUUCCCUGCAUAGUUGCUAGAGUAAGAUCGAAUAAGUGCUAAACUAUUCCUCUGGCUAUAUGCAUCAUAUCAGAAUUAUGUAUUGAACCUUGUGUUUUGGCCCUCAUAUUGCAGUCUUGUUCCAGGCAUUAGUAUUAUAGUACUGAAAGUGAUCGUUUGGUACAGUUUAUGGUUGUAAGUUCUAGUUCAUGAUAACACCACAUGAUCCAGUUUGAAAUACUUAUGCACUACUCUCUGUCCAAUUUUCUGAAGGUUGGUAACCCUUUUUCUGAUUGAUCCUCUUCACUCAAGACUAGCUAUACAGUAAGAGAGUAUUGUGUUAAUUGUACUGAAUGACAUCGACCUUUCCUGUUUUUUAGGGGAUUGCAUCUUUAAAACUUUCCUAUUCUGAUCUUCAUCAAGUUCUAUAUAUUUAUCUUCAAAGUAAUAUCUCCAUGAUAAAUUUGGCAAGCAUUUUCUUCUUAUUCUUCUUUGUUUUUUCCUUCGCACAGUGCUAGGAACCUCAAUGGUCCAUGGUUACUGUUUGUGUCUGAGAGCGGUCUGGGAAAGCGGGUUCCUCUGAGUAGAUUUCGCUUGUCACCUUUGAAUAGAGUUGGUUUAAUAGGUUACAAGGUAUUUUUUAUAUUAGAUCGGCUUAUUCAUGAAUUAAAUGAGAUCUCCUGCUGUCCAUUUUGCUUUGUUUGCCUGACCUUUUCUUUUUGCUGUAUUUUAGUUUUCCGCAGAAGAUCACUUGGCAGCAGUGUUUGUGGUUGGGUUUUCACUGACAGGUAAUAUUAUGUACUGAGUUACUUGAAGGUAGUUUGGUGACAUUAUGUACUCAUUUUGCUCAUAUACUUAAUAACAAUGCUCCUGAAUUUAUUUUGCAGAAGAUGGUGAAAGUGAUGAACAAGUAGUUCUAGUGAGCCAAAGUGGGACCAUUAAUAGAAUUAAAGUUUGGGAUAUUUCUAUACAGUCACGGUUUGCAAGGUAAAUUGAAUUAGGAUAAAUUCUUGGUUCAUUUAAAUUUUGAAACAUUUGGCAAUGAGUAACUUCUUAUCCUCUUCUGAAAAUUCUUUUUAGGCUGAAUAGGUAUGGUAGGCUAUGGGGUUAUAUUUGCUGAUCUUUGUGAUAUGAGUUUGUUGCUUGGUCUCAAAUGGGCUGCCUGGAUAUCUUAACGAUGCUCAGAAGACAUUGACAAUGAAUGUCAUGAUGCUACUGUGGUAUGGUAGUAAACAAUGACCUGAGUAUUUAGAGUUGCUUGGUGUGGAAAAAAACAUCAAUACUUUUGUACGAAAGUCUCCAAUUCAGCUGUUGAAAAUGCAUGACUUGUAAUAUCAUGAAUCACCAACUAUUAUAUAGCUUGAAGAGGUUCAACUAUGUUGAACAAAGAGUUAUUUAUAGAAAAUGAAAAUAGCAGUACAGAAGAAGGAUGAGUUAUCCUUCAAAGAGGGAACAUCAGCACACUAGAACAUUGAAAAGUUAAACCUACUCAGGGUGGUAAAAUAUCCCUGCCAAAAAUUAGAGGCCCUGCCAAAAAUUAGAGGCUUCUCCUUGUCUAGCCAACUUAUUUUUAGGGAUUUACCCUUCAAGGUAUUCAGGAGGAAAACCUCAAAGCCCCAACUAAAUUGAUUGUAUUGUGCACCCUAGAAUCUAAUUCCCAUGGGCCUCACUUCCCAUAAGCUAUAUUCAUUAUUUGCUUGUAUGGUUCAUGCCUUAUAACGAAGCAAGGAUCUCAGCCUCAAUAGCCAACUACUCCCCAACAUACUUGGAGAAGGCCUUAACCACCUAACUGGUAUGGUCAUUAAAUACAUCUCCAAUCCAGGAUGUCCUAGACUACCAACAAGCAGCCAUCAAAAUUAGGCUUGAGGUAAUCUGCUGGAGGGAGUUUCCACUUAUGAACAGAUCCCCACAAGCCUCUUGCUUGAGGAGCUUGCAAAUCUUUUGUCCAAACUGAUCAUGCUCACUGAAUUCCCAUGAAUCAUUAAAGAGACAAAGGCCCAAGGAGGAGAGAAUACCGGAUCCCACAGUGAUUCUGCAGAUCUGCAUUUAUCCUCAAAGGUCCUGAAGCUUCUUAUGUCAACCAAGGAAUAGUAAGAGUGGUGUCCACCUAUGGGGACCCUACUCCUGGCAUUGCCCCAUAAGUCCAGGAAGGCACCCAUUUGGUCCUCUCUAACCAAAAAAGCUUGUGUCAAAAAAUCAUGGUAACUGGGCAAUACUUGUAAAAUUCAUGUAAGAAUUAUGUUUUUCCAGGCUCACCUCUAAUCUAGAUAACCCUCCAUGCCAUAUGGUGCAUGCUAAAUAUCUUGCUCAUCAAAUUUUGAUAAUUAUAAACAAGAAAAGGAAUUGUUUUGACACUUCCUAGUUAAGAACAUCCCUUGGUGACCUUUGAUUAUUGUGACCUUAAAUGGAUUCCUUCUUGUUUUCCCGAACACAAAUGGGUUGGUUGUAUUCUGCCAUUUAUCUUUAAAUAUGGUACUAAAAUUUUGAUCAAUAUAAAGUUCCUUGUAAAAAAUAGCAUCAAAAGAAACAUUUCUACGCUUCAAGCAUAGCUUGAAUGUCCCUGCAUGUGUAUUUCCCAUCUUGUUCUUUGUACUAGAGAAGAUCAAGAAGCAUCACAUAUAGUUUCUGAUUAAUUAUUAUUUCUUAGUGUUCUAAAAGCCUGAGAAUUGUGUUUUUGUCAUUUUUCUUUUUUUUCUUCCAUCUUUCCCUUAUUGAGUGGUGUUCAGACUCUGAAACCAGCUCACUGUGUUAAAUUGAGACUGGGAAUUUUGUUUGUAGAAAUAGGAUUAUAAUUUUGAAGCAAGCAAUAUCAAAUUGCUGAUGAUUUGCCUAUCUACCCAUUGAAAUUAUUCGAACUAUAGUGUCUUCGUUGGAAUCUAUAGUUUCUAUAUUCAUUUAAUAUUUCUUCUGCAACAUACUCGUGUCAUGAUUUGUUAACAUGAUUUUUUUCAUGACUUUCCUUGGUAUUGCCUUGAAGUUGACUUCUUUUCACUUUAUAAUAUUUAGGGGAGUAAUUCUAAUGCGGCUGGAGUAUGCUGGAAAGAUUCAGUCAGCUUCAUUAAUGUCAGCAACAGAAACAGAGACUGAUGACGAAGAAGCUGUUGCUGUUACACAGUAAAAGAGUUCUUGCCAUUUUGAGAUGCCGAGACUCGUAGCAAUCAACACACGCUACAGCAACACACCUUACGUUAGGAGUGAUCAGUUUUGUUGAUGACACUAAACUCACAUAUGAAGAUAUGUGACAACAGUGUAAAGAAAGAACCAAGAGGAAGUAUUUGCUGUAACUAUGCUUGUAACUUUUUUGUCGCUCCAAUCAAGAUUUGCAACACUAGAACUUUAUCCCUAAGUAAAUUAUUUUUAAUUCCACCAUUUGGCUUGAUUUAGAGCUAUAACUUAAAUCAUAGAACAUCCUCGCUUUGUUUACUACUUAUUGGAUAUAUGCUUUCAUCUUUAACUUGUCAGUGUUGCAUGAAUCAUGUUUGUCUUCCUUUACAGGUGCAGAAGUGUUUUUCAUUAGGCAUGGAAUGCAGAAACGUAGACAAUCUCUACUGGACAAAGUAAUCUGCCCACUUCCAGUCCCUGCCCUGUACAAAGCAUAGACAAGGGAAGUGAAGGCUGCAACUUGUCAAGCCAUGGAAAAAACUAAUGGCUCCAUUGUAGUUAAUCAUCUUUUUUCUUUUUUUUCUUUUAAUGUUAUAUCUCUUUUCCAUGAGCAUAGAGGAAAUGAACCUGAUCAGUUCAGUAUUUACUUCUUGUCAAUUUUCCCCCUUCAUAAAAAGAGCUGAUCGAAAAACAACGUCAAAGGGUGUCAUUGCCUGAAAAUGGUCUGAGGUAAGAUCUUGUUCCUUAUGCUCGCUGCAUUAUGCUCACCACAGGACUGGUACUUGUAACCAUAAAGACAAGCAAAAUUAGGUUUCAAUCUCAUUUUGUCCAAUCUUUAUAUCCUCAUAUGUCCUCUCCCAUUCCCUAGCUUUGCAUGAAAAUUUUCUCAAAAUCAAUGAGAUGAUAAGGAACUUGGUGCUCUGGACUUUGGAUACAGUUGAACCCUCUUGGAUAAAAAGAUGAUAUACAAUUUCCAUAGGUAUCUUAUCACAGCAAGCAGAGGCUCAAUCCCAAAGUGGUCUCUUGCUCGGGCUAACAAGGAAUAAGGUCUAAACUAGGAUGCCAAUUUUUUAGUCAUUGGACAGUGGGAAAUUAUAUUUGCAUCUAUUUAAACUCUUUUUGUAUGUGCCUUAUUUAUACAUUUACUUAAAAAUUUAAAACUAGUACAUCAAUCUUAUAAUUUUAAAAAUACCCAAAACAUCCUUCUCAAUUUUCUCUUCUUAAGCUUAUUUUCUUUUUCCUUUUUCUCUCAAUCUAUUUCUUUCAAACCAUAAACUCUAGGAGAAAAUCUUCUUCUUUGAAGCUCUUUUGAUGUUAGAAGACCAUUCAUGGUAUGUUCAUAGUCAAUUCUAAUUUUUUUUUUAUACCAUUUUAUUUGAAUCCAUAAAACAUACUACAUGUAUAUCUUUUAGGGUUUAUUUGUUACGUUUUUUUAUAUUUAAAAAAAUGGAGAAGUCUUUAUAAGCAAGAAAUAGUGAAAAAGUAUAAUAGAAAAAAGAAAAAAAAAUCACCCUCAUAUUGUGUUGUGACCUCAAAGGUCAAGCACUGUAGCAAAGUUUGGUCCUUAACUAGAACUCUAGACCAUGAUAAUAUGUAUGUCUGAUAUUAAAAGAUUAGACAAAGUCCAUACAUAUAAAAUUGGAUAUCCUUAAGUUGUUCAAAUUUGGUUGGCCGGAUAUUCUAAAGAGGUCCGAUCCUUCAGAAUCGGACAUGCCAUGGAAUUUUGAUUAAUUUGACUAAAUUUAUUAUACUUGCAAGUAUAAAGAGUACAUUUAAGUGUAUUAGACCCUUAACAUGUCUUGCUUAACCCAUGGCCAACCAUCCUCACCAAUGCCUAAAGCAAAAGCUAUAGCUCGAUAUCCACAAUUAUUGUAUGCUACCACAUCUUUUACAUGAACAAUACUAGAUUCUGCAAAUGCAAAAAUUAGGUCACUAGUCCUACGUGAUUGUCUGAUUGCAUCCUUGGCCUUCUCUUUUGUUUUGAUGAUGUAGUACCGAUAGUCAAUUUCUCAUCCCAUGUUGUCUUCACAUACUCGAAUGAGGACGGAUCCCUAUUAGUAGACAAACCAUUAUUUUUUAAAGAUGUUAGUCCUUUUUUCAACUUUACCUUUUCUUAUGGGGUAUUAUAGAUGUGAGAUUUCUAGAGUAAAUAUUUCUAUCACCCUCUUUAGCAUUUGUUGCCUACCCAUUAGAUUAGUUCUAAAGAAUCACUCAUGGAGGUGUUCCAUAAUAGUUUCAUAACCCAUCUCCCCUAUAUAUUGGUGUUUAAUAGGAACCAAAUCAAGUUUUCUCCUAUGAGUGUCUAUUGGUGAUGAAGGGAUUGGUCAACCUUCAGUCUUAUAGAACGAGAUCUCAUAUGUACAAAUUUGUGGGUUCAUUCACUCUUAACAUUUUCAAAUCUUUUUUCCUUCAUCAACUAGAAUACUUAGUGCAAUUUUGGAAAUACUUUCUCUUAAUUCACUAAACAAAUGGCUUUUCCUAUUGUGUUAGACACUGAUUAGACUCAUUUGAAAUGAUGCCUUUAUUUUAGUGUGUAAUAACUCUAACAUACUAUGGAUUUUGACUGAAGAACUCGUAAAAUCACAUGGCUUGGAUUUUGAUUUUAAAAACUCUCAAAAUCACCUUGAGAUGUGCCUAAUUGUCCCUUCCACUUGGCAUAUGAACUUUUAGUCUUAUGUUAUAUUGAAGAAUAGUUUAACUCGAUAUAUAAGAUCUUAAAAACAUUAUGCGGAAAAAAAAUGGUUAUAAAUGAUUAUAAAUUAUUAUACAAACUGAAACGUAUGACUUCAUCUGCUCAAGUUGCUACAAACUUCUCUUUAUAUGGAAAUAACUAUUGAACUUUACGGCAUUUAGUUACUUUUGUGUACCUUUGGUUGUCUCUCAAAGGCAUUAAGAUAGUACUCAUAUGUCUUUUUAGUUUCAACAAGCAGAAACAUUGCAUAUGAUAAUAAAAGUCUCUCACCUUACCUUUGACUCAAACUAUAUCUUGCAGUUUGUAAGAAUAUUUUUUAAUAUGAAUCAACUACAAAAAAGAUGUGAGGAGAUUGAGAACACAUUAUGUAAUGCAUUCAUCAGAGCAAGUUCCCUAUCGGUGACAACUACUCUUAGAAUGAAGUCUUCAUCCAUCAAACUCAAAUUUUAUAGGACUCAGAUGUAGUUAUCCUCUUUUUCACCCCAUGAAAUGCAAAUGAAAUAAUAAAUGUCUACUUUGUUGAUGUUAAACCAUGAUCAACAUCAUUGGAGAUGCUUGUAAUAAAUCAAUGGAUGAUAGGUGUGUGAGCAAGUAGUCUCUAACGUAAUCAUUUUGUUCAUCCCUUCUAUGUCAUUCAAUGUAGUUCAUCUCCAUUAGCUUGUGCAUCAAUUGUUACAUUUGUAAUCCUACCAUAUUCAUUUACUUUAUUUUAUUUUUAUAUUUUGCAUUUUAUAUUAUCUUGAACGUGUUACAAUUCGGCUCAUCCCUUUGCUUCAAAUGAUUCAAUAUCUCUUUCGACUUAAUGUUGCUUUGUAGCAUUUCAACUAGCAUACUCAUUUCUUUUUUACUUAAAUGACUAACAAAAAAAUGCCCUCCGAGAUAGUGUGCUUCAAUGUGAUUUUGUCUUCCACAUUUAAACCAAUACCUAAUCACAACCAAUUGACAACUUCACAUCCUUAAUAGUAAAUGGAUACUCACAUUUCUUUUUUCCUAUCCAUUUUCCUUUUCUUUUUACUCUCAUAUUCGAUGAACUUCUAUAUACUCUAAUUCUUUUACAAGUAAAAAUAGUUCUAGGUUUUUGUCCACAAAGUGCCCCCAUAUCCCCUUUACUAAUUAUAACAACCAUUCCAUUCCUUGUAUCGAUUGCUCAAACCCAUUCGAUCAAUGCUUUUCUACUAUAAUGGAUGAUAUCCGUUGUGAAGACAGUUCUGUAGUCUAUCAUCAUCAAAGCUUCUAGUAUAGAUGCAUCAUCCUAUAUUAAAAAAUUAAUAAAAUUAAUUAUUUUUUAGAUAAAAAAAUGUUGUUCUGUAUAGUGAUGAACAUGCUUAUAGGUGUUUGAAAUGGUACCUUUAGACAUCCUUUGAGUGUUCAUAACUAUAGGUUUGGACGCAUAUGGAAUGUCCAAAGGUAGAGUUCUAGACACCAAUAAGAGUAUCCAAAAGUACACUUAUGAACAUUCUUAAGAUAUCUUAAAGUACAAUAUUAGACAAUUGUAAAACAUUUGGCCUUGUGACUCUGAACACCAUUCAUGAUACCUCUUUUUUUUUAACUCCAAAAAUGAAAUAAGAAAUGCAAAAAAAUUUACAAAAAAAACAUACCUCCACACUUGUACAAUUAUUAGAGAUGAUUAUUUACUUAUCCAUUGAUGAGAAACACAACUCUCUUGCUAAAUUUUGUAAAGGUUACAAAGAGAUUAGAAGAGAAAGAAUGGACAAAGGAAAAGGGAUAUGUAUGUAUUUUUGUGCUUAAGUGUAGUUUAAGUAUUUCAAUAAGGGGCAUUUAUGGCUUCAAAAUUCAUUAAAAAGGAUUGAUGCAACUAAAAUUUUGGUGGAUGCAAAUAUACUUUCCCUUCAACAAAUAUCACUUGAAGAAACAUGAGAGCAAAUGAAUACUAUGGUCAAGCUCCCUUUUUUCCCCACUUAAUAUGGUGAGAAUAAAAUAAAAUCAUUCAUUUUCUAUGCAAACAUGACAAAGAUUAUAACAGAGAGAGUGAAGCUGGUGAAGAGGACCUCUGAAUCAUACUAAUUUCAUCAUCUCAAUUGGGUUAACCCCACUUUCUGUAGGCAUUAUCCUAUAGAAUAAAGAAAAAGCUAACAGCAAAUAAGAAGGAAUGUACAUUUCACUAAACGAUCAAACAUCUAGAUUAUAAACACCAACCUUUCAAUAGUCCUAAUAUCCAUCUUACAUUACCUCUUCCAAUUUUUUGUUACAUCUUUAUGGAAGUUGGAGUCACUCAGCUUCAAGGGCUGCAAUUUCAUAUUUUAUUUCCUCUAAAUGAUCAUUUAUGGUGGUCACAGCAUCCUGCACACCUCUAAUUGCUUCAUUGAGAGCAUUAUCAUACUCAGCAUCUGCCUCCGCCUCUUCAGUUCCAGCAGCUUCUGUUAUCUCAUGGACAUGCACACAUUCAUGCCCUUCUGGAUUCUUAAAUUUGCACUUCUCAUGGCUGACCAACCGUUCUGAAGGGCGACCUGCCUUCUUCAACAGUUGAAUUGUUGCCGUCUUUGAAACAAGUAGAUAAAUUUGUCAGGAAAAGCAAGCACUAGCAGUCUUUUUGCACCAAAAUCAGAAGUAUUAUUUCAUAAUGCCGUAUAUUAUAUCAAGGCUGGUUGUGAAGAAGAGAUUAAAUGAAAAUAAAAACAUUCCAUCAAAUAAUCCUUAUGCUGAUCCAAAAUGCAGAAAAAUGUCAGUAUCUAAGUUUGUAGAGGUAACAACCUUCAUGAUUGAGCAACUUUUUUUACCAGAGCUGCAACUACAUAUUUAAUAAACUUGAAGCACAGUUGGCCCCUCAAAUGAAAAAGUUAGAUAAUGCAUACAGUUUAGCACAUUGAUGACAUUGAGCCCAAAACUCUUCCAUCACACCCAGAAAUCAGAACCAAACAGGGCAAAGGACAUGAUAGUAAUUUCACACACUAAGCCUAAGUCUCAACAUGGAGUAUUAACCAAGUACUUGGAACCUGUUUUAGAAAAGUAAGAGAGAAACUAAAAUAACUCCAACAAUAAAUAAAGCCUAUAAAUACAAUCAUCUCAAAGAUUAAAAAAAAAUAUUUAUAAUACUAUGACACAGAUUUUCUUUUCCUAAUAUUAUGUUGUUUAUUUAUUAAAUCAUAUUCUUGUCCAAGGAUAUUCGGCAUGCAAAGCAGUUCUCUUCUCCCCUUCUUUUAUAUGUGUGCUCUCAUGUAUUCACAACUCCCUCUCUGUCCAAGUGUGGAGCUUGAUGGUUGAGAAAUGGGCUUUUGGGGAAUUUGAUGGAAAAGAGGAGUCUUGUGGCAACCAUAUAUUCAAAAAAGUGCAGUAAUGGGCAAAUAGAUGCUGUCCCUUCAAUUACAAUUCAAAGCCUUGCAUGAUGAUAGAAAAUCCACAUAUCCUCUAAUAAAUCUUGUUAUUGCACAAGGGCAAUAUAGUGCAUACAGGUGAUACGAGAAAAGAAUUAGCAUUUGAGGAAUCACCCAAAAGCUCAAGGUACGACUUUGUGUCAUCAACACCUCACUAGUUCUCAGGAUACAUCUUACUGAUGACAAACCAAAACCAAAUCCAAAUCCAACCUAUCUAUAAUUGGUUAACGGAAAUCACAAUCCAAAUCCAACAUCAACCAAAAUCCAAUAUGAUGAAUAUUUAGGGAAAAAAAUGGAAAAAAAUAAGUGAUAAACUUUGAAAAUUGAAACCAUAAUCAAGUGAGACAUGGAUGUUUCAGACAACCAAUUUAGCAAAAAUAAAACAAUGCUAGGCACCCCAAUGGACUUCGCAUGAAAGAAUUAUCUGAAGUAGGGAGACAUACCAGAUGUAAUUUCUGCUUUUCCUGAUUUUGAACAGAUCUAAGCAGAUGUGCUAGAUCAUCUCGACCAUAAUCAGGGUCCAAAAAUAGAGAUUCCAUUUCAAGGACCUGUGGUAAUGCAGGAAACACGACAGAUAGAAAACAAUUUCUUUUUCUUAAAAAAAAGAAUAAAAAUCAGAAAACUGAUACUAUAAGCAUGUGUUGUACUUGUUUUGAGCAUUCAUUGAACUCUACUGUGAUCUCAUUGCAAAGCUGUUGGUAAGCUGACUCCCCUCCAGAAACCAUAUAGUCUGCAAACCCCCUGCCAGGACAAAAUAUAACAAAUAAGUACCAGAAUCCUGCUUCAUUUUGAUAGUGUCUACUGGCACAUGAAAAAUGCUUUGUUUUUUUCUCUGUUUAAAAUCAUUUAGAAACCAUACUCGUUGAAGGGCAAUGUUCAGGAACUUGAUUUAAACUGAUGUAGGUAACAUAUUUUCCUGUCACCUAGAAAACCAAGUAGGCUUUUAUGGAGUUAUCAAGAUAUGUUUUCAAGGAUUUAAGCACAAAAGAGACAUAAUAUGCAGAUAUGCUUCCUAUGGAACCAAAUAGGGGUUUAAGCUUGCUUUAUUUUGGGUCUUUGAUAAUAUGACAAUGGUCAAGAUUAACUUUUAGAAACAAACAGAAUACAGUACAGCUUCAAGAUACUGAACUAGUUGUGGAAACUCAAAAAAUAUUAUUCCCAGCUAAACACAAAACAAGUAGAAUUCAGGCUGUUCAGGACUUAGUGCUACCAAAACAUCUUGGCUUUUAACAAAAAUGCAAGAGCCACAAACCCUGCACUUUUUAAUGCUAUUUUUGUCUCUGUAUAUUAACAGUGAUGCAAGAAAGAAACACCAGAUAACUAUUCAAUUUUACUGGAGACAGAGAUGGUAAUGAUCUGAGAGGCAUACAUCCAGUUCCCUCACGUCAUGUGCCUACCAGUGGUGUCAAACAUGGUGCAGAACACUUUUAAGGAGCAAGUGUUAAUAAGAAAAUGGCAAUAGGAUAAUGCCCGUCUUUAUAGCUUGCAUAGAAGUUAGAAACCUCUUCAAUCUGUUCAAUUUAGCCACCAUUUUAUCCUGAUAUAACGUCAUUUUGCGCUAUUUUUGGAGGAGUUAAUUUUCUUCUUCCAUCCUACAAAGACCUCAAGGCAGGGUAUGGGUCUUGGGUCAAAACCUGCUGAGGUAAACCAAUUAUGCAAAAUAAUUUUUGAGGAUGUUGGGCCUAUAGAAUCAAAGAGUUAGUUUUGCAAAGAAGAUUUUGCAUGUUACCCAACAUCAACUAUCUUCAAGAACUAAGAUACAAGGAUACCUCAUAGCUCUGGAUGUUUUUCCUUUCAUAUGCAAUGGAAGUGUAUAUCAAAGUUUCAGAAGGGUGGGAAACAGGAAGUAGAAUUUGAGAAGAUAAUGUCAUCAAUGGGAUGCUUAAAUUAAUUAAAUAUGUUCUUAUUCUCUUUAUGUUGUACUACCGUUACAUUAUUGACAUAUUUUUGAUGUGUGACAAGCGUACAAGUAAUACAAGGCUUAAACCCAAAAAUAAAUUAUUCUCACAUAGCACAAUUUGAGCAAUGUUUAAUGAAAACUAAUUGACAAAGUAAGUAAGAAGUAUAAAGAGAUAAAAGCCCUUUAUUUGGGAGCUUUGAUGGUGUUGAUUUGUCAAUGCUAGAAUCCCUUCCAAUAUUUGGGAGAGCUGCACUUGUGGUUUUUUUUUCUUUUUCAGAGAAAAGCCCUUUAAAGGCUUCAUAUGAGUGAAACAAUACUUACAAGUGAUGGAAUUGGGAAAAAAAUUAACACCAAGUAUCUAAUACACAUUUGGUACUUCAUUAGAAAACCAGAAAUUAACAAACCCAACUCAUAAUGAUGUCAAAUACACAUGGAAACCAUCAUUCAAUUUGUACAUGAAAUUGAUGAAUACUUCCUUUUAAAAGUGAAAAUAAAACCCCCAAAGAAAACAUAUUAUGCUGAGGCAAAUGGGAUAGAAACUUAUGGAAUUGGACCAAGAGAAUGUAAGAAAAUAACGGAACAAGGACUCUAGUCCUAACCAUCACCCAAGUAUGAUGUAGAUAACACCUGAAGAAGGUAUGCUUUCCAUAGCUCCUCAAAUUGGAAGAAACAAACUAGGAAGAAAAUACAUCCUUCAUUAAGACAAUGGUUAGAUAUUAACUAUUCAUUAAUCGGGAACAAGUCAAAUUUUACCUUAUAUUUGGUUCUAGAAAAAUUUGAAGGAAAAUGUAAAGGAAAGAAAAUAGAAAUGAAAAAUAGAUUUAAAGUUGAUAAAUUAUUUUUAAAUGCUUCUUUAAACUCAAUUCACUUAUUUUUCGUCUUCAAUAUAAAUAAUCUAUAAAUGUAUAAGUUUUUAAUUAUAUUUGAUUUUCUUUCACAUUCUCAAUGAUAAACUAAAUAUGAAAAAAUCAUUUUCCUUAACUUUUUUCUUUCCUUCCUUAGUACUCUCCAGAAGCCAAACAUUGUAUUAGUGUUUUGUUUAGAAAAGUUGGGUAAAGAAUUUAAGGAAAAUCAAUCAUAAAGGCAGCAAGAAGCCAAAGCCAUAAUCAGUUGAGAUUUUAGACUCGCAUCCAUCCACAAUUCAAUGCUUUAUUUAGAUACACGAAAUAUCAAAUGAGAAUUUACAAGAGAUUCAUAUUAAAUAAACUUCAAGACAAUGCAAUGCCGGCCAAGACGGAACAGUGCCCAUAUGAAUUGAGCGUAUAUAACAAUCUGCAGUAUAAAAUUCAAUAGAAAGGUGAUUGAAAUAAUUAAUUUGAGCAUGCUCAAAACCUAAUUCACUGCCUCUACGGGAGUUUAACAGUCCACAGCAAAUCAUCCCAACCGUCCCCUGGUGUAUUCACAAAGACCCUAAAGAAAUUCACCCAAUUCUGCAAAAGGGUCUGGUUGUUUUGUUAAAAAAUUCGGAAAAUUAUUCCAGUAAAUUGUGGUUUUCCCGGAGACAACAGAGAGAGGGAAAAGGCAGGAAAUAAUUAUCCCCCCAUUGUUGGGCUCCGUUUGGUUGGUGAGAAAAAGUAAGGGGAAAGGAAAUGAAAAUAAUUAAAAUCCGGAAACUCAGGAGAGAUAUUAUAUGUUUCCUUGGAACCAAACAGAGGAAAAUGGAGAAGAGGAAGAAGUGAGGGGGUACCUUCUCAUGUUUGCAUAAGCUUGGGCUCGGCGCUGUUGAAUUUGUAGAAACCUACGAAGCAAUUGGAGGGUUUUGGAGGAAUCAGCGCCGUUUUCGAUGUCCAUAGCCUCUGUGAUUUUCACCUUCUUCUCAAAAUCUUCCAUUUUCACCUCCCACCUCCACUUCUCCUCUCUUACACCCUGCGCCCGUCCAAGUUUGAGUAUUUUAUUAUUAUUAUUAUUAUUAUUAGGAAGACAUCCGAUGGAUUCGGGAGGGUUCGCCCCAUCCCAACACCCUCUGUUCAGUAAAAAUAAUUCUCAUCCUCGUCCAAUUAAAAAAAAUUAAAUAGGGUGGAACCAGCAGAUACAAGAAGCUCCAUUUAACUUUUUUUAAUUUUUUUAAUUAUAUUAAAAUAAAUAUAUUUUAUAAAUAAUUAAAUUAUUAUUAUUUUUUAUAACUUAUUUUAUUGAAAAAUAUUAUUAUUAUUAUUUAUAUAUUAAAAAUAAGAAAAUAAAAAUAAAAUAAAAUUAAUUUUUAAAAUUAAUUUUAUAUAUAAUAGAGAUGGGACGAGGUGGGACAAGGCAACAUCCAAACCUGCCUUGAACCCAUCCCCGAGGGUUUUUUUUUUUUUUUUUAAAAUCUCAAACCUAUUUAUUUAAAUUUUAAAUUUGUUCAAGUACCUAAAAAAACUCAUCCCCAUUAUCAUUCCUACUUAUUAUUAUUAUUAUUAUUAUUAUUAUUAUUUUAAUAUUAUUAUUGUGUUGAUAAUAAUAAUAAUAAUAAUAAUAAAAAGUAACAUAAUAAAUUAGCAUAAAUAAUUAGAAAUUAGCAUGAUAUAUUAUAUAUCAUGAAUAACAUCUCACAACCAAUGAAUAACUAUCGAUGAGUUGUUUAAUUUUUUUUAAAAAUUCUAUUAUCAGUGGAUAAAUGUUUCUAUAUGGUAUGCUAUUUUGAAAUGAGAAAAAAUAUUGGAAAAAAGAUUAUUUUUUAUUUCAAAAUCAUUGACUCUCACCAAAGAAAAUAGUCAAUAGAUCUAUUUGUUGUAGGGGCAACAAACAAUUUUGAUACAACAUGAUAACUUGACAAUGACAUGAUCAUGACCAUGUCAAUUCGGAUAACCAAUUUAAUAAAAGGAUUAUAUUUGAGUUUGCUACUAAAUCUGUUUUAACUAGUUUACUUAAUAAUGUCAAAAUGAUUAUGUUUAUGUCUCAAUUUGUUAAUACUAUGUUUAACCCAUUAAUUAAUCAUGAAAAAUUGACCUAUUCAUUACACAAUGCAUUUAUGAUUCAUUUAACCAUAUAAAUUAUUAAUUUUAUAUAUUUAAAAAGUUAAAAAUAAAAUAUCUUUUAGUUAUAAAUAAUAUAUAGUUCAAAGAAGUAAAUAAUUAAAUAAUAUUUUUAUAUUUCAUUAUAAAGAUUAAAAAUAUUUUAUAAUUAAAAUAAUAAACAAGUGUCAAAUUGAAAUUUUAAUUUACAUUUUAUAUUAUAGUUAAAAUUAAAUAAUUAAAGUUUGAUUUGUAGGCACUUCUUGUUUUUUUUAUUGAUUUUUUAAAAUUAAAGUAACUAAAAAGUAUUUUGAAAUAAUAAAUUUUAAAUAAUUAAAACUAUGUUAAUAUGUUAAUGACUUAUAAUCACAUUAACAAGUUUAACAAUGUGGAAUUGUACUAAUGAGUUAUCUAUGUCCAUUCAUACACAACCUAAAUCUAUUUAUUAAACAUGUGGAAUGGAUUGUGUUCAUAUAAGAUCAUUUUAACACUAUUAUCAAACGAAUGAUAUUUGAGUUGAAUAAUUUUCAUUAUUUCUUACUUCAACACAACAUAACUCAUUUGUAGACCAUCCAUUUUUUCCUCGUAGCACAUGUUUAUUUAUCAUCUUAGUGUCUUAUAUGCUCUUACUUGGUACGCAUGUAGGAUCCCCCUUUUGCUCAAUUAUUCUUGUACUUCUUGGUGGUUCAUUUACUAAUUGACUUUGUUAUUGAUUUUUGAGCCACUUUUUGGAGAUCUUUUAUGAGGAGUUUUGGAUUCAUAUAUAGUGUGACUUUAAUAACACCUUAGGAGUCCCCAAAGUUUGAACACGUUUGAAGCUCAUAUAGGGCUUUGUUUACAUAAAAUUGGCCUUUUAACCCCUUUUUUUUGCCCUUUUCCUUGCCCAACUUUCUUUUUUCCCUUUUUUGGGUUGUUAGGCUAGUUUUAGGAGAGUUUUUAUGGGUCUAAACUUCGGGCUUUAAGUCUCUUUGGUUAGGCUUUAAUUUGGGAGAGUUUGGAAGAAGAAUUUAGGCUUAGGUAGAGAUGAUGUGUGAAAAUCAUCACUCUCCCUUGGCCUAUAAAUAUGGGUCUUGGGUCUAUUUUUUAGUAGCUCUCUUGGUUUUUGAGGGAAAACUCUACCAAAAUUUGGAGAGAGAAGAAAAAAAGAACAUUGAAGAAAUGGGAAGAAGGCUUGACUUAGAGAACAAGUUUGGUUCUUACUAUAAGCCAAGUGUUUCACUUGAGAUGAGAUUUUUGAUAAGUUCUUCUUGAUUCCAUUUUCUUGAGAUUAUUUUUAGUCCUUUUUUCAUGUAUUUAUUGAUUCUUGAGAUGGUGAUUAUAUGGGUUGUGUAUAUUGAGAAAUCUAUGGCUUGAUUUUGGGUAUCUUCUCUUCAUUUUUGGAUUCUAUUAUCAUUUUCUUCAUUUUGAUCUCUUUGGGUGUUUAAUAUAUGCUAGUUCAUCUUGUUUAAAUUUAUGUUCAACUGUUUUCAAGCCUUGCUUGAUUUAGUUUUAUUCUUUUCUUAACUUUUCCCCCCUCUUUUGAAGCCUCGUUGAGUCAAACAUGAUAUUGGACUUACUUUGAUUUGAGACGUUGGAUCUUCUUUUGAUUCUUUUCUUGAGGAUUUUGUUUUUAUCUUUGUUUUAAAGCUUUUUGGAAUCAUUUGCGACUGAUUUUGAAAUGAAAAUUGAUGGCUACAUGUUUGAUUAUUUGCCAAAAUGAGUUUUCUAUAAAAAAAAAAACAAAACAAUGCUCUUUGGAGCUUUUUUUUUUUUUUCUUGUCUUCUUUGGUCUCUUCUUCGAAAUUGAUUGUAAAACUUUCAUUUCAUUUUCUUUUUGAAUGAAUUUCAAGCACCUUUUAAUGACCAAUCUCAUGGCCAAAGGUCAAGUCCCUUAACAUGAACUUUAGUUUUACCAUUAUGCUUGAAGAAAUGAAUAGUUGCUUUCAUUAUUUUUUUUGUGUGUGUGUGUGUGUUUUUUAAGGUAUUCUAAACUAAUUUUGGACAAUCUUUUUUUAGACCUUGUGAGUGUAUUUUUUUCAUGGUCAUUAGGGCUUGAAAUUAUGGUUCAUUCAUGUAUUGAUGACUUUCAUACUUUUUUUAUCACACAAUGCAUGAAUCUAUGUGAGAGCAUUCCUCCCUAAUGAUGUCUUUUUGUACAUUUCAGCCACUUUUUCCAAACUCCAAUGUAAUUUUGGCAUUACAUGCCUCAUUUAAACCUAAUUUCAUGUUCAUUUGAGGGUUAAGGAGUGUAAACCCUAUAAACUAUGACUAACUUCCCAAGCCUACAUCACACAUUUCCUAAACUUUCAAUUUUCAAAAUUUCUUGAUUUUGGAAAAUAGACUAUCCUACAAAUUCAAAAUUAAUGGAUUAUCUCAAGCCCUUAUGAGCUUUCUUCUAUGUUCAUUAGAGGGCAAGGAUGUGGAUUUGCCCAUGGAAAUUAAUUUAGACUUAUAUCAAAGCCCAUGUAUCUUGAUUAUAAAGUUUUAACUCUUUGCUACCCUAUUUUUGAGCUUCAAAGUAUUUUUGCAAAUUUAGACUAUUUGGCUUGUUCUAAAAUAUUUUUUAAGCUUGAAAUGUGUUUUGAACAUCUUGAACAUGUCAAAAAAAUCUUGUUUUAUAAAAAAAAAAAAACCCCUCUCCAAUUUUUUUGAAUAAUUCAUUUUUUUUCCAAGUGAUUGUCUGCUACUUUGUUUUUUAGCAACUAAAUACUUUUGCAAAUUAGUCCUAAUUUUUUUUAUCUUUAAUUAUUUUUUAGGCUUGGUUUGCGAUCUAGGGUUCUUGAUUAAACUUGAAAGAUUUGGCUAUAUUAACAAAUCCUUUGUUAUACUUGUUGAAUAAUUUAAUAUCUUAUAUGCUUACUAUGCUACCAUGUUUUUAAGUUGUAAGGUGUUUAAUUAAAUCUAUAACAUAUGGUGCAUGUUUGGGCUCUUUGGCUUUUGAAAUGUGUUCUAGAUACCUUGAAUACAUUGUAAAAAAAAAAAAAAAUCUUGAUUUUUAUCUUAUCUUUAGCCUUAUUAAAUAAUUCAAUCUAUUGCAUUGAAUAUGUUGUAGAAAUUUUAUCCUGUUUUUUUUUUUUAUCUCAUCUUUAACCUUAUCAAAUAAAUCAAUCUUUUGCAUGUUCAUUGUGCUGCCCAUUUUUGAGUUAUAGGAUAUUUAGUGAAAUCUAUAACAUAUAGUGCAUGUUUGAGCUCUUUGACCUUUGGAAAUAUGUUCUAGACACCUUGAAUAUGUUGUAGAACUUUUUACCUGACUUUGAUCUCAUUUUUAACAUUAUCAAAUAAUUCAAUUUCUUUCAUGUGCAUCGUGUUACCAUGUUUUUUAGCCAUAGGAUUUUUAGCGAAAUUUGUAUCUUUGGGUGUAUGUUUGGGCUCUUUGGGUUUUUGAAAUAUUUUUGAGCUAUAGGUUGUAGACCCUCAAUUUUGUCCCUUUAGCACAUGUCUUUAAAAUUCGUUUUCAGUGCUUCAAAAUAGUUCCUUGGUGGCCCAUAACUACUCAUACCACUUACCCUUUUUUGAGUCACCUCAGAGAUUUUGGUUGAGGGAUUAUUUGAUCCCUUAUUGUGACCCUUGGCAGCCCUAACUUAGUCUUAGGCUUUUUUUUUUUUUAGGAUAGCUUUUAAGCACACUUAGUCCACUUCAUUUGCCCUAGCGCACUAGGACACACCCUAGGUCACCUUUAGAUGUUUUUGCAUGAUUGCAUGACUCAUAUUCUUUUGGUGGUUACAUAGCUCGUAUGGCUUGCAUGUGGUUGAUUUUUUUUAUUUUUGUUUUUAAUUAUUUUUAUUUUUUAUUUUUAUUUAUUUUUUUAUUUAUUUUUUUUUUUUUUUUUUUUAGAUGUGUGAUUUAAAUUUCUUUUGAUUUUCAAUUUCAUGAUAUUUAUUGAUUUUAAUCUUUAUUCUAUUUUGUCUUUAUUUUAUUCUUAUUUCUAUUUGUAUCUUUAUUUAUUUAUUUAUUUAUUUUUUGGGCAUGAGGAAACGGACCACCAUUUAUUUGGAAGGAAAAUCAACAGAAUUUUGAAAAGAGGAGAUUUUAUUUUUAGAGGGACAGCACAUAUACUUCUUCCAUGUGGGGAUCGGCUACAAGAAGGAAAGAAAAGGAAGAAGGAAAGAAAAAGAAAGAAAGGAAAUAAAGGAGAAAAGGAAGUAGGAUUUUCCUUUUCAGCAAGAUGGUUUCUUUUUGAAAAGUGGGACUGGCAGCACGCAUAAAAGGGAUUUUUUUUCAGAGGGGAAAAAAAGACGCAUUGGAGGAAACCGUUUAAGAGGAGAAGAAGAAAGAAGCACAAGAAAACCAGUGGAGAUUUUCUGAGGAUAGAAACCAGUGCAGAUUUUUUAUUUAUUUAUCAGAAGUAAGCAUUCCCAGGGGGAAAGAUAUUCAUCCUGGAGAGGGGAAUUGGAAAAGAGAAACANGCUUUACUUCUUUAGAAAAGUUCUAANNNNNNNNNNNNNNNNNNNNNNNNNNNNNNNNNNNNNNNNNNNNNNNNNNNNNNNNNNNNNNNNNNNNNNNNNNNNNNNNNNNNNNNNNNNNNNNNNNNNNNNNNNNNNNNNNNNNNNNNNNNNNNNNNNNNNNNNNNNNNNNNNNNNNNNNNNNNNNNNNNNNNNNNNNNNNNNNNNNNNNNNNNNNNNNNNNNNNNNNNNNNNNNNNNNNNNNNNNNNNNNNNNNNNNNNNNNNNNNNNNNNNNNNNNNNNNNNNNNNNNNNNNNNNNNNNNNNNNNNNNNNNNNNNNNNNNNNNNNNNNNNNNNNNNNNNNNNNNNNNNNNNNNNNNNNNNNNNNNNNNNNNNNNNNNNNNNNNNNNNNNNNNNNNNNNNNNNNNNNNNNNNNNNNNNNNNNNNNNNNNNNNNNNNNNNNNNNNNNNNNNNNNNNNNNNNNNNNNNNNNNNNNNNNNNNNNNNNNNNNNNNNNNNNNNNNNNNNNNNNNNNNNNNNNNNNNNNNNNNNNNNNNNNNNNNNNNNNNNNNNNNNNNNNNNNNNNNNNNNNNNNNNNNNNNNNNNNNNNNNNNNNNNNNNNNNNNNNNNNNNNNNNNNNNNNNNNNNNNNNNNNNNNNNNNNNNNNNNNNNNNNNNNNNNNNNNNNNNNNNNNNNNNNNNNNNNNNNNNNNNNNNNNNNNNNNNNNNNNNNNNNNNNNNNNNNNNNNNNNNNNNNNNNNNNNNNNNNNNNNNNNNNNNNNNNNNNNNNNNNNNNNNNNNNNNNNNNNNNNNNNNNNNNNNNNNNNNNNNNNNNNNNNNNNNNNNNNNNNNNNNNNNNNNNNNNNNNNNNNNNNNNNNNNNNNNNNNNNNNNNNNNNNNNNNNNNNNNNNNNNNNNNNNNNNNNNNNNNNNNNNNNNNNNNNNNNNNNNNNNNNNNNNNNNNNNNNNNNNNNNNNNNNNNNNNNNNNNNNNNNNNNNNNNNNNNNNNNNNNNNNNNNNNNNNNNNNNNNNNNNNNNNNNNNNNNNNNNNNNNNNNNNNNNNNNNNNNNNNNNNNNNNNNNNNNNNNNNNNNNNNNNNNNNNNNNNNNNNNNNNNNNNNNNNNNNNNNNNNNNNNNNNNNNNNNNNNNNNNNNNNNNNNNNNNNNNNNNNNNNNNNNNNNNNNNNNNNNNNNNNNNNNNNNNNNNNNNNNNNNNNNNNNNNNNNNNNNNNNNNNNNNNNNNNNNNNNNNNNNNNNNNNNNNNNNNNNNNNNNNNNNNNNNNNNNNNNNNNNNNNNNNNNNNNNNNNNNNNNNNNNNNNNNNNNNNNNNNNNNNNNNNNNNNNNNNNNNNNNNNNNNNNNNNNNNNNNNNNNNNNNNNNNNNNNNNNNNNNNNNNNNNNNNNNNNNNNNNNNNNNNNNNNNNNNNNNNNNNNNNNNNNNNNNNNNNNNNNNNNNNNNNNNNNNNNNNNNNNNNNNNNNNNNNNNNNNNNNNNNNNNNNNNNNNNNNNNNNNNNNNNNNNNNNNNNNNNNNNNNNNNNNNNNNNNNNNNNNNNNNNNNNNNNNNNNNNNNNNNNNNNNNNNNNNNNNNNNNNNNNNNNNNNNNNNNNNNNNNNNNNNNNNNNNNNNNNNNNNNNNNNNNNNNNNNNNNNNNNNNNNNNNNNNNNNNNNNNNNNNNNNNNNNNNNNNNNNNNNNNNNNNNNNNNNNNNNNNNNNNNNNNNNNNNNNNNNNNNNNNNNNNNNNNNNNNNNNNNNNNNNNNNNNNNNNNNNNNNNNNNNNNNNNNNNNNNNNNNNNNNNNNNNNNNNNNNNNNNNNNNNNNNNNNNNNNNNNNNNNNNNNNNNNNNNNNNNNNNNNNNNNNNNNNNNNNNNNNNNNNNNNNNNNNNNNNNNNNNNNNNNNNNNNNNNNNNNNNNNNNNNNNNNNNNNNNNNNNNNNNNNNNNNNNNNNNNNNNNNNNNNNNNNNNNNNNNNNNNNNNNNNNNNNNNNNNNNNNNNNNNNNNNNNNNNNNNNNNNNNNNNNNNNNNNNNNNNNNNNNNNNNNNNNNNNNNNNNNNNNNNNNNNNNNNNNNNNNNNNNNNNNNNNNNNNNNNNNNNNNNNNNNNNNNNNNNNNNNNNNNNNNNNNNNNNNNNNNNNNNNNNNNNNNNNNNNNNNNNNNNNNNNNNNNNNNNNNNNNNNNNNNNNNNNNNNNNNNNNNNNNNNNNNNNNNNNNNNNNNNNNNNNNNNNNNNNNNNNNNNNNNNNNNNNNNNNNNNNNNNNNNNNNNNNNNNNNNNNNNNNNNNNNNNNNNNNNNNNNNNNNNNNNNNNNNNNNNNNNNNNNNNNNNNNNNNNNNNNNNNNNNNNNNNNNNNNNNNNNNNNNNNNNNNNNNNNNNNNNNNNNNNNNNNNNNNNNNNNNNNNNNNNNNNNNNNNNNNNNNNNNNNNNNNNNNNNNNNNNNNNNNNNNNNNNNNNNNNNNNNNNNNNNNNNNNNNNNNNNNNNNNNNNNNNNNNNNNNNNNNNNNNNNNNNNNNNNNNNNNNNNNNNNNNNNNNNNNNNNNNNNNNNNNNNNNNNNNNNNNNNNNNNNNNNNNNNNNNNNNNNNNNNNNNNNNNNNNNNNNNNNNNNNNNNNNNNNNNNNNNNNNNNNNNNNNNNNNNNNNNNNNNNNNNNNNNNNNNNNNNNNNNNNNNNNNNNNNNNNNNNNNNNNNNNNNNNNNNNNNNNNNNNNNNNNNNNNNNNNNNNNNNNNNNNNNNNNNNNNNNNNNNNNNNNNNNNNNNNNNNNNNNNNNNNNNNNNNNNNNNNNNNNNNNNNNNNNNNNNNNNNNNNNNNNNNNNNNNNNNNNNNNNNNNNNNNNNNNNNNNNNNNNNNNNNNNNNNNNNNNNNNNNNNNNNNNNNNNNNNNNNNNNNNNNNNNNNNNNNNNNNNNNNNNNNNNNNNNNNNNNNNNNNNNNNNNNNCUAUGGACUUGUAUGCCGUUGAUGACCAUAUCCAUAUUUGACGUGAUUCUUGGAUGUCUUGAUAUAUGCCUGAUUUGCUUGAAUACCACAAAUGUUGUGUGCUACAUUUCUACACUAACUUUUAUAUUUUAUGAUAGCGCUUGAAGAGCAGUUCAGGUACGCACCCUCACUCUCCUUUGUUGCAAUUUGAUUGUGUUUGGCAUGCCACUCUCUAAAAUCACCUAGCCUACUUAGGUAUCCAUAAUUAACCGAUUAAUUGCCAUAUCCCCUUAACUUAAUUAGUAGAGACCUCUUUAGGGCUUAGAGGGGUGCUACCUUCUAGAGGUACCUUCCCAAUAAGUAACCUGAUCCCCGGACCAAGACUUGGGUUUUCAAAGACACGCUUUUCCAAAAAUUAUGGAGUCAUUUUUUUUAGGGUUUUAUUUCUUGUUUUAUUUUCCCUUCAAAAAUAAAAAUAAAAUAAGUGGCGACUCCAACUUUUUUUCAAAAAAUCAAUUUUUCACAAAUAAAUAAAAAAGCGAGUCUCGCCGAUCGAGUGGGGACGCACGUGAAAAAUGCGGGUCCACAAAUUGGCGACUCCACUGGGGAUUUUGAGGAUCAAGCUUGAACACUAGUUAAGGAAAAUGUGGCGUUUAAUUGGUCGAUUAGAGGGUACCCCAUUUUUUCUAGGCAAGGUGAUUCGAUUUGCUUGCUUGAUUUGUUUUGCUAUCUUGACAUGUUUGAUUGCCUUGGAUGAUCACUUGAUUGCUUGCUCACUUCAGCAUGAUUCACUUUCACAUAUGUUAGAUAGGACUUUGUUUGUUUGAUAUUUAUUUGCUUCGCAUGACUGUUUGAUGUGAUCACUUAAUUGUUUUGCUCACUUUAGCGUGAUUCACUCUCACAUAUGUUAGAUAGGACUUUGAUUGUAUGAUACUUAUUCGCAUGGCAUGACUGCUUGUUGCAUGACAAUCCUUUCUCUUGCAUGAUUGUAUGAUUGCUUGUCUUUGUUCACUAUCUCACUUUAGAUCUUAGGUUUUUCGGAUGCACCCACAUCCUUCAUUGUGCACUUUUGAUUAUCCCUGAGUGUUGAGAGAUGAGAGAGUCUUUCCUUUUAAGAAACCCCCUGGGAACGUGAGGAAGUGCAUGUGUGGAGGUAAUGACCACCUUGCAUGGAAGCACCCCGUCUCCUUGGAGGCAUGCAGAGGGUUGCGUACCGUCGGAGGGUACGAUCGCUUCUGCUAGGGAUCCUUUGACCCACCCAUUUUACCUUAUAGAGCCACCUCAACCUUGUAGGUUAGCCUAGACCCAAUUAAGAUUUCAUUCCUACACGUGGGUGCAUCUGUGGACCUUCAGAGCUGCCUUGGUCACAAUUGGGUUCAGUUAUCCUCUUCAUGGUCUCCUUUUGGUGUGCUCAGAGAUUGGUACAUGUUUGAGUCUCAGUUGGGCCACCUUUUUACAUUGUGAUUAGUGUGUUUCCACCUCUUUUGAGCUUCCUUCAUGUCAUUUCUCUUUCCGUGUCUUUGUACCUUAUAGGAAUGUUAUUCGCUUCAGUUUGGAUUCGACUCUUUAUAUUAGAGUUGGAAAUAGAUUGGUCAAGGUUUCAAAGCAGUCAGGUAUGGAUCCUCAGUAUGAUACAGUUGAUCGACUUACAGUCACCAUGACUCUAUUCAAGAGACAUUAGCAGGUUUGAGCCAGAGGAUUGAUGGACAGUUAGAUAGAUAGUAUCCAGUUCAGGAUGAGAUGUCGUAUGAUUCAUUACCACCCACCCCCACCACCCAGUUAGCCAGUGACAUUGUUGAGGGUGACUUCAUACAUAUGAUGAGUUUAGUGGAUUAUGAGUCAAAGUUUAUCAGAUGAGAGUUCUUAUAGUGGACAUUAGUUUUUCUCAGAUGGGAGAUUUGAUUGACAUGGUUUUCUUCAUGAUGGGCUUGAGAUGGACAUAUUGGAUGAUAGUUGGAGUGGGCCUUAUGUUAUCCGAGAGUUGACUUCAAAAGGGGCUGCAUGGUUGACAGACUUAGAUGGAAACCAAUUUUCGGAAGCCUACCAAUGUGGAUCAGUUGAAGAAGUAUUAUGUUUGAGACCGUGGUCGCAGGAU